rnacentral:lncRNA from 1 species
AAACUCAUUUGAUUUCACAACCAAACUGCUCCACCUUACAUGGCAUCCAACUGAAAAUUCAAUUGCAUGUGCUGCUGCAAACAGCUUGUACAUGUAUUAUGCAUAAGUCAUGACAGGAGGAAUCGGGUUCUCUUGGGUUGCGUUUCUUGGAGUGCUUUUCCGGAAGGCUUCUUUUCAAACCAACUCGAGGUUCUACCAUUUCUCACGUGCAGAAUCCAUGCCGACGUAUAUUACAUGUUCUUAAUGUCAAGGUCCAGAAAUGGCUCAAAGAAUGGUCAAUUUAGCAACUUACUUGUCAACAACCCAACGUUCUUGUUUUCUUCCUACCUUAUCCUCCUUCACCCUUCUCAAGAUCUCCGAUGUCUUUAUAGUUCUCCCCUCAAGCAAAACUGUUAGAUAAGCAGAAAUUAUCAAUAGAUGUAAGGUAAAUGCAGUUUUACUUUAAACCCUGCUGGAAAAGACCUGCUGGCUUAACUUUAUUGAGUAGAAGUAUUUUUUGUAGGAUAAUUUGAUGGUUUUUUUUUUGCUAUAGAUUGUCGAACUAAAGUAGCUUUGUUUUCUUCUCCUGUAAAAGUUCAAGGGCGCUGGUAUUUAUUUACUUGCAUUCCUCAGUGCUUUGCAUCGUAAAUCUUUUCAACAGACAUGACUAAAAUUAGGCUUGAAACUGAGCACUUCUGAAAUCCGUUUUAGUGUAUAUAGAAAUGAGAUGUGGAGUUUAUCUUACACUUGAAGUUUAGUUAACUCAGUUAUAUAAAGGCUAAAUUAUUAGAUAGUCCCUCCACCUUAAUAUAAAUAGUCAGUUAGCCAUUUAGUGAUCAGUGGAUAGACACCUCUACUUGUGUUUGUUGAUAGAGAUGUAUCAUCUGAAGACCUAGGGUUGUGUCCAUAGGAGUCAUAGUAUAAGACCAAGUGCGUAAAAAUACUUGGCUCUGGUUCGGUCAUUGAUUUUCAAGUUGAAACUUGAAAAUUUUAUUUGAAUAGAUUUAAAGUUUUUCCAGUGGAAUUUAAAUCUAAUAUUUGAAGAUCUGAUCAAAUCAAAUAUUAUGGCUAAAUAAGUAUUUAAAAUCUACUUUAAACAUUAGUUUGGCGUCUGACCUGUCGAAUGAACUGGCCAAUUAUAUUUUGGAUUAAGUUUUUAUGACUAAAAGUUGUAAAUACCGAUCCUUUUUGUUUUCUUGAAAUUAUUUUAUCAAGUGAGGGGGGUUAGGUCAUCAUAUCUUUUAUGACUAAACACUAUCUUUGGCAUCUGUUACAUGACAAAAUUGACACAAACCACAGCACAUUUUUUUCCCAAUAUGCCCUUUGAAUUUUCUCUCCCUUCCUAAAAGGAUUAUGCAUUGGAUAUCAAGCACAUGGAGUGCUCAUUUUUCACCCCUAUUUUCACCAUUAACUCCAAAUCUUGAUUGAUGCCAAUUAAUGGACAUCUCAAUUUUAAAUUAGUUGAUGUUAUUUUAUUAAGUAUUACUAUAUAUUUAUUUGACUCAUUCAAAUCUAUUUUCUUUCAAUGUUAAAUAAUUUACUUUCAAGAAGUCAGUAUUAUUGUAAAGAUUACUUCAAUUAAUACGGCUUAUUAUUCAAAUUUUUUUGAGAAUCACGACACUUAAAAAGAACAUUUGUUUCACAGUUUUAUUUUUAAAGUCACAUCACCUAUAUACAAACACUACUCACAUGAUACAUUCUUUUUCUAAUUAUAUUAUUUACUGCUAAUAAGGUACUAAUCACACACCUGAAAAAACGUUUAUGUUUCUUCCUUAUUUUCAUAGCAUAUAGAAAAUCUCAAAAAGCUUUAGUCAUGACUACUAUAUUGAGCAAUAUUAUCACUGGUGGUAUCUCCCUGCUUGCUUAAUGAUUUUUUUUAACGUGAUAACAUCAUCUAUGUACAAAAUUUCGUAAGUUUCAAAUUAAUUUAUACGUAGAAUCUGUAGUACACAAAAGAAUAAUCAAAGACGUUGCAAAUUGUGAAUGAUAUUCUGUUUUAUAAAAAUGAAACACCUUUAAUUUCAAAACUCUUUUGCUCCAUGAAAGAGGUUAGCCCAGUAUGGAAGAUUUUUUAUUUUCCUUUAGAAAAGUAAAAACUAUUUAUGAUUACAAAUUCAUCAAAUUGUCUUCUCCUAGUUAUUCCAUUAAUACUUGAAUAUACAAAAAUAACCAACCAAUCCCCCACCCCUCUAUUUCAUGUUGCUUUUUAAAUUUUAUCCUCACAAAUUAAUUUUUUUAAGGGAAUUAUUUAUAUUUUUACAUCAUAAUAUAUAUCUCACAAGUUAUAUCUCGCACCAUUAAAGAACUUAAGCUUGAUUUCUAAGGGAGAAAAUUAAAGAUCAGUUCAUUUAAAAAACAAAAAAUAAAGAAUAACCUAUUUAAAAAAUAAACCGUGCAAUUAAAUAUCACCAUAAAGUGGGAAAAAAGCUGAUCAACAUGUUUCGAUCGUGAACAAAUGGAUCAUUGUGCUGGCGAAGGAUAAUUUCGUAUCUUUAGAAUGUCUUUACAGCAAGUGACAUAAAUUAUACUUACAUAGCAAUUAUGUCGCUACUUCACUGUCAAUUGUAUUGUCAUAAAUUAAUGUGCAUGAGUUUCUUACCACGUACGUAAUCUAGAAAAAAAUUAUAAAAUUAUCGGUUUUUCUCCAAAUCUAUAUACAAAUAAUUAUAAAAGUGUUAUUUUGUUUUUCGUUAUCAUUGCCACUACAAAGAUGGAGUCAGGAUUAGGAGUUCGAUUUUGUUUUCCGUGGUCAUUGCCAGGAAUAUGAGUAUGGCGCAAAUUGUCCAAAUGGGGACUCUAACUGAGGCGUGUUGCUCGCCCAUGGAUUUGACAUUCCCUUGUUAGAUCAUUCAAAUGUGAAAAACGCAUAUCAACAACCUUCCUUUGACCAAAGUCUUUGUGUCGGUUGGUAUGCGGGAUGAGAUAAACUAUGAUAUUAUUUUAUCACAUCUUUUGUAUGGAAUGUAAUCCAAUCGUUUUAGUAUACAUGAUGAGAUACAAUAAAUGUCGAUAUUAAGUAAUACCUCAAACCAAAUAUAGAAUACAGUUAAAAUCAAAUUUUAUUUGGUAUUAUUAUUAUUAUCCCACGUAUCAAACAAUCCUUGGACCUUGGGUCACAAAUGUUUACUUAUAUUACUAGGGGCGGAGCUAGUAGCCCACAUGUUGAUUUGGUUGAACCCAAUAGAUUUUUUUCAAAUACAGUAUUUGUGUUAAUAAAUUCAUUAAAUAUGUACAUAUAUUACAUUUAGUACUCACUUAUUAUCACUUAAAAUCAUCAUUUUAAAAUAUAUAACUCAUAAAAUUAAAAUCCUAGCUAGUUUUGCUUCUCUCUAUACCUAAUCGAUGUACCUUUUGAAUACCAUGGCCGUGUUUAUAAAACCAAGUGCGUGAAAUUACUUGCUUUAGACGAUCAAAAUGAACCAUUUAUUAAAUGACAAGUAUAAUUUGAAAUUAAAAAGAAAGAAUAAGCAAAACUUUCUUGAUUUAUGAAGUGUGAUUAUUUUAUAACAAGCUUUUAUGAGUGAAGUGAUAGAUUGUGACUAAAGUGAUUAAAUGUAAUAGAGAAUAAUACUUCAUUUCUAAUGGAGCCGAAUUCUUCUUGAAAUUAUAUUUUUGCAGUGAGGGGUCAAGUCAUCAUAUCUUUUAUGACUAAACACAUUCAUUGACAUCUCUAAUUGCACAAUAAAAAUGACACAAACAGUGGUACACAUAAUUUUCAAGAUUGCCUUUGAAUUUUCUUCCCUUCCUAAGGUUUUCCUUUUUUCUAGUUGGGUGUCCGAUAUCUAUAUUGAAGUCUCGAUUGAAUUAAUUUCACACUGCAAGACCUAUUCUAAAAUGAUGAUGCUUUUAAAUAUAAAUUUGAGACAUAUAAUUAAGGGUGGAUCACUCUUACCACUCCACCAAAACCCAUGUUUUGAUUAGAUAUAUAACAAGCACAUGCAAUUACUCAUUUUUCACUCCAAUUUUCACCAUUACUUCCAAAUCUUGAUUGAUGCAAAUCAAUGACAUCUCAAUACUAUUUUAUAUUAAUUUGACUCAAUCAAAUCUUUUUUUUAUUCCAGUGCUAAACAAUUUACUUAUAAGAGUUCUCUACUACUCCCUCCGUCCCUAUUUACUUGUCCAUAUUUCCUUUUUUGGUUGUCCCUAUUUAGUUGUCCAUUUUGACAAAUCAAGAAAGGACAACAAUUUUUUCCUAUUAUACCCUUAUUUACACUUCUUGAAAAUUGUAAAAGUGUAUGUUGUUUCCCUCCAAUUUAUUUAACUUGAAUUCAAAUAAGUGGUUGUAAUUUUGAAGUGAAAAGUUGUCAUAAGGGUAAAAUUGUAACUUCACUGUGCUAAUCAUUGUUGUCUUAAUCUGUGUGCCAUUUCUAAAGUGGACAACUAAAAAGGGACGGAGGGAGUAUUAAAUAACACGCAGAGGGAGAUAUAUGUUAAUAAGAAUCUUCUACAUGUUUUUUUUAUUAGAGUAAGAAAGGAAUAAACAGUGUAUGCAUCCUUAUAAAAGAAUUUAAUAUCUUACGCAAUCGUCAUACUCUUCCUUAGAAAAGGAAAAAGAAUUAAAAUGACCAUGACAUGAAGGCUAAAAAAUAUAAUAUAAAAUGGAGAUAUAUAAUAAUAAUAAAUUAUUAUUAUUAGUAGUAGUAUUAUUGUUAUGAUUCUUUUCUAAUGCUACCAAAGCUUUCGCUCUUUUUAAUCCUUUGAUGACUCGAACUUACAAUCUUAAAAUUGAAAAAGAAUUGUACUUACUGUGAAAUACCCUCUUGUCAUAUAUAUUACUAGUAUACGUACCCGCGCGUUGCGCGGAUAUUUUAAAAUAUAAUAAUUUUUAAAUUCAAAAUAACUAAUAUAAAUUAUUAUUAAGUAACAAAGUGCAUGUAUAGUCAUAUGUAAUGUCUUAUUUUUUUGUAUACAUUUAAUGCUAACAAAUGUUUACCCUAAUUUAUGUGCAAUGAGUGUAUGUUCUUCAAAGACACUAAACGUUAUUCUAACAACUUCUCCUUCUUCUAGUAUAACGAAGACUGAUAGCAUAUGUAGCAUGUGUUCAAUUGAUAUUUGUGCUAAAUAAUUAAAUUAUAAAUUCAUAGAUCAAUCUAAAAUGUAGUAUUAAAAAUUUUGUCUCUACUUUUGGCCAAAAUCUAAAAAUAAUUUACAAAGCAUGUUGCAGCCUCUUUAAUACACUCCUCUUUCAUUUAAUCUUGCAAAAUAAGACGAUUUUCAUUUAAUCUUAAUACAAUCUCAUAAAAUAAGAAUGUACAAAAUACUAAAUACGUGCAUUUAGUUGAUUUGUAAUUUCUUAGUAUUUUUUAAUUAAUAAUUUUUUUUGAAAGUCUGCAAAUUAUUAAUAAUUUUUUUUUUUUGAAAAAAAAAUCUGCAAAUUAUUAAUAAUAUAUAACUAUCCGUUUUUGUUUUUGGCACUUUUAUGUAAAAAAAGUUUUUAUAUAAUUGUUUUUCAAAUUAAAAUUAUAUUUUUUUGAAGAUAAUUUUUUAAAACAAAUAUCCAAAUUAUUAAUAAUAUAUUAUUUUUUUAAAGAAAAUAUGCAAAUUAUUAAAAAUAUAUAACUAUCCGUUUUUGUUUUUGGCACUUUUAUGUAAAAAAAGUUUUUAUAUAAUUGUUUUUCAAAUUAAAAUUAUAUUUUUUGGAGAUAAUUUUUUAAAACAAAUAUCCAAACAGAAAAUUCGAUAAAUGUUUUGAUGAUGACAUGCGACACUAUUUUUUAAAAUAUGGAUUUAUAAUAUUCUCAAUUUAUUCUUUUUAAAAAAUGAUUUAAAAACAUUUCAGGUUUGCAAAUAAAUUUCAAUAUAUAUAGAUUUUUAAGAAAUCUAGUUUAAAUUAUUUUAUUCAUUUUUGGUUAAUAAGUUUUUAGAGCUUGUUUAUAAUGGGAAGUUUUAAAACUAUCAAAUUCUAAUUGUAAUUUAGAAAAUUAAUUUGAGGGGAAAGUAUGUUAAUAAGAUAUUAUUUAAAAAAAAAUAUUUUCUAAUUUAAUUUAUCUGCUACACAAAUUUAAUAUUGAGUUACGUCAUACAUUUUUACUUCCUAUAAAAUUAUAUUUAUGCUUUAAUAUUAAUAUUUUAAAAUUAUUUGAUUGUCUAAAACUUAUUAAUGAUAUAUAAAAUUUUGUUAUAAAAUUUGUGGCAUCUUUUGCAUGUAUUUUAUUUUCUUUUGUAAUAUUCUAAUUAGUUUUUCGUUAUUAUUAUUAUGUCAUUUAUAAAUUAAAAUAUUAUGUUCACAUUUCUGAAUUGAGUUCGUAUUAAGUAUAAACAAUCUUUUUUUAAAACAAAUUAUUAUUUGUACAUUUUUUAGCCAUAUUUUUAAGAGAUAAUUAAAUUGACACUUUUUAUUUUAAAAUCCAAAGAUGAGUUUUAAUCUUAAUUAAUAAUAAUAUUUUAUAUGAAAGUUUGAUUGUUUUUAAAAAAUUAGUUUGCUGCGUAAAUUCUUCCAUUAUUUUAAUGAAUAAUAUUUACACAUAAAUCUUUAAAAAAUUACAUAUAAUAAGGUACCUGAAAUAAUAGCAUUCUAAAAUCUUAGUGAGUAAUUUUAUUAUUUUUUGGUCAUAUAACUUACAAAAUCCUGAUGAUUGUUGCAACUUGAAAAUUUAACACAUAAUGUAUUAUUAAAAGAGUAAUAUUCCUAUUCGAUAAAUUAAUCUACAUGUUUAAAAAAUAACUUUCACAAAGUAAUCUUUCAAAAAAUAAAUAAAUUAGCAAAUCAGUCCUAAUAUAAUUCAACAGAGAACUUUAAAAUCAAUAGAUGAAAGAAUAACUUUUGAAAAAUGAUUUUCUAUCUUCUUAUCUUGAAGAAUCAAUUCAAUAAAAAAUAAGGUAAGUAAAUAUUUGCAAGUGCUACGGUCCAUCGUUGUAUAACUCCAUUCUUCAUUGCUUAUUAUUGAUGAGUUCACAUUGAGUAGAUAUAUUGUACCGAAAGAUAUAAGCAUUUCAAAAAUUAUUGAUAGUUGUCUAUUUGAAUUAUAAAUUUACAAUAGAUAACUAUAUAUUCAAAAGAUUUGAGUAUCUUACAUAGUAAUAGAAUGAUAUAACCUUUUUAAAUAAUUGUCUUGAAUUCAUUCUCCCUAAUAUAAGCAAAUUCUACCAAAGAAGGAAACAACAUAUAGAUACAAAGCAUGUAUUGUUAAUGUGUUGCUUGAUUUUCUCAAAUGAACCUUUGAAAAAGUAAACAAUAUAGUGUUGCCCACAUAAUUUUUAAUUAAUUAACCACUAAAUAAAAGUAAAAAUUGAGAACAGUAACGGCUAGGAAGUUACAACAUAAUUUAAAGCAUUAUCUAAAAAGGCGAAAAAACUUUAAAGCAUUAUCUAAAAAAAUGAGUUUUUUUAUAGCGUCUUUUAAGUUAUAUCACGUGAUUAUAAAAACGGUUAUAAAUUAUAUAACAUUAAUUAUAAAACCUGUUUUAAAUUUCUAUUUUAUUUUUUUAAAAUUUAGAUUUUUAAUUUAAAUUAACUACAAAUAAUUAAUUUUAAUUUUAAUUUUAAUGUUAGUUUUAGUUUUAAUUAUAAUUUUAAUAGAGCAGAAAUUCUAGAAAUUAUAUUUUAUAAGCUUCUUGAAAAAUCUAAAAAAUACCUAAAAAAAAAAAAAAACGUGAGAACAUUACCUUGUGAACUCUUGGUAUUGACCAACUUCUUGUGUCACAACACCGAAAGAUUAAAUGACUUUCCAAUUUAAAAAAUUCAAAAUAGAAUAACAAAUAUCUAUUGGAUAAAAAAAAAAAAGGGAUACUAAAAGGACUACCCCAUUUUUCCUAUCACAUGUUUCUAAAUUUGUUUAUUUUAUCACUGUUUUGUUCAUAAGUUUUUAGAGUUUGUGCAGUAGAAAUGUAAUGAAAAGUUUUAAAACUAUCUAUUUAAAUUUAAAGGGUAAACAAUGAUCUUUAUAUACAUUUUUUUUCAAACUAAGUCACAUUUUAACAUCCAGUUCAGAAGAUUGGGGGUAGGGGUGAGGUAAAGUUCUUCAACAUUAAUCAUUAUAGAGUGACUUAUUAAUAUUUUUCUUGAUAAUUUAUCACAUAUUUCUAUUGAAAUUUACCACAAAAUUUACCAUUCAAGAUUUAGCCUCUCUUUCAAUAUGUAUUGUGCACGAUGUACCAUUCAAAGAAGUCAUAAUCUACUAUAGCUAAAUAUUUGUCACAAAUUCAAAACUAAAUAGAUAGUUAUCACAAAAAAAAUCAUGUCUAACAUAAAUAAUGGAAAAGAUAGUGAGAAAUACCAACAAAAAUAUUACCAUUUAUGACAAAAAACGUUUCUCGCAGUAAAAUUGUUCUUCUCCUUCUCAAUUAGAUAAAUCUCUAUUUCGUGCAUUUUCGAGAGCAUUUUUUCGUUGGUUAUGAAAGUCUUCAAUAGAUCUACCAAAAAGAAGACGAAAUAUUAGAGUUUCAGUUUUUUUUUUUUUAAAUUAAAUAAUUCUACUUUUUCUAAAAAUAUACACGUGUGUAGUUUUUAAAACUGCACUUUUAAAACUGCUUUCAUGUUUAUUUAUUUAAAAUUUAAAAACUAAUUAAAAUUUUUGUUUUGUUUUCUGAAUUGUAAUUGUAAUAUAUUUAUUAAUCAUUAUCAUUAAUAUAAUUACAAAUAAUAAAUUUUAAUUGUAAAAAAAUAUCCAUAAAUUUGAUAAUAUUUAGUAAUUGUAAAAACUAUUUUAAAAAUAAAAUAGUAAUUUAUUAUUUUAAAUUUUAAAUUUUAUUAAAUUUCAAUAAUUUAAAAUGCCAUGUUUUUAAGAAAGUGGGGUACGUAUUUAUCAUUUUCUUUUGUUUGCAGUUAUCUCUAGUUUUUUUUUUCUUUUUUUUUUAUUAGAUUAGAUUUUAAUAAAUCAGUAUUUUAAAAAAUAAAAUAAUAAUUUAUUCUUUACCCUAUUUAUGUAAUAAUUUCAAUUAUUUAUAUGUAUAUAUAUAUAUAUAUAUUAUUAUUAUUAUUAUUAUUAUUUAUUUUGCUAUAAAUAAGGAGGCUGUGUCACACAUAUUACAUCUCCCUAUUUGUUAGUACUAUUUUAAAAAUAUUUUUUAAUUGUAAAACUAUUUUAAUAAUAAAAUAGUGAUCUAUUAUUUUAAAUUUGAAUGAAUUUCAAAAUUUCAAAAUUUCAUGUUUUCAAGAAAGUGGGGUCCGUAUUUUUCGUUUCUUUUGUUUGCAGUUAUGUCUACUUUUCUUUUUAUUAUAUUUUAAUAAAUCUCUAUGUUUAAAAAUUCUAAAAACAGUAACUUGUUUUGUUUGAUAAUUUUUUUAAAAUAAUUUAAAUAGAGAUUAGCGCUGACACGUAAGCACUAUCACUUCUCCAUAAAUUUGAUAAUAUUUAAAAUUGUAAAAAAAUAUCCAUAAAUUUGAUAAUAUUUAGUAAUUGUAAAAACUAUUUUAAAAAUAAAAUAGUAAUUUAUUAUUUUAAAUUUUAAAUUUUAUUAAAUUGCAAUAUUUUAAAAUGCCAUGUUUUUAAGAAAGUGGGGUACGUAUUUUUCAUUUUCUUUUGUUUGCAGUUACCUCUAGUUUUUUUCUUUUUCUUUUUAUUAGAUUUUAAUAAAUCAGUAUUUUUAAAAAUAAAAUAAUAAUUUAUUAUUUAACCUAUUUAUGUAAUAAUUUCAAUUUUUAUAUAUAUUAUUUAUUUUGCUAUAAAUAAGAGGUUGUGUCACACAUAUUAACAUAAUAAUGCAAUUUGAAUUUAAAAUUUGUCAGAAUUUAAAUUUCAGAAACAAAUUGUAAUCAAUUAAAAUAACUAUAAGAAACAGUAAAUAAUUAACAUAAUAAUGCAAUUUGAAUUACUUUUUGUAAUUUUUUUUUAGAAAACACGAAAAAAGAAGAAGCAAGUGAACCUUUAAUUGAAUAUAAAAGUCUUAUAAUUGCAACAUAAUCACACCAAAAUCUUCCUUGGAGGACUGAUAUAUGAAACCUUUUGUCAUCUACCUAAAAUAAAAAGAAAUUCUAGCAUUUAAUGAUUUUACAACAAUGUACAUAUAGUAAUUGAUUCAUGAUUCAUAUUUAAAUAAAAAUGGGGUUUACAUUUAUUCUAUUUCUACCCAAAAAUUGCAUUACAUUAUUUUGUUAUAUCUCCUAAUUUAUAUUUUUAACUUCUACUAAGAUAACAUAGAAUCUUAGAUAACUUCAACAAAAUAUCAAAAAUAUUGCAUGAAAAAAAGUAUAUAAUCAAAUAAAAUUAUAUUUGUUAAGUUUUAUAUUAAAUUUGUGAUAAUACUAAAAAAAAAUGAAUGUUGAGUAAUCUAGUUUAAACUAUGAGAAGUAUUAAACUCCUAAAAGCACAUACCUCUGGCUAUUAUAAUUUCUCAUUUAUCUUCUGCUGAGGUUGAAAAUCUGUAAAAAUAAUAAUAAUAAGAGAUAUGAAUUACUAUAGUGAACAAAAUUGUUAUAUUCUAAAAAAAAUAUAUUAUAAAAAUAAAUCUCUGAUAAUUAUUUUGAAGUAAAUUUGAUUCAAACAUUAAAGUUUCACCAUUUAAAUUCGACAACAUAAACGUGAAAAAGAAUCUAGAGAUUGACACUUAAAUUCAAGAAUUUCAAAAAAAAAAAAGAGUAAGCACAACAACUAUAGAUAAAAUAAUAUGAAAAGGAGAAGUACAAAAGAAAGUUGAGAGAACAAUUUAUAAUCAGAUUUUUUAAAAAAUCUAAAACGUUUGUAACCGUUUUCUUCUUCUUAAAAAAUAUGAUUUUCUAAAAAACAAAUAGCGGACAAAUUUUUUGAAAUUUUAAAAGUUUAAAUUGUACAUCGGUGAUGGUGGAGACAUGGGUAAAAAGGGGAAGUUAGUUCUAAACUGUACAUGUUUUAUAUUUUUAUUAUUUUUAUUUUGUCUCUUUAUAUAUGUUUGUAGAGAUAUACAUUUUCAAACUAAAUAUUUUAAAAUUAUUAAUUGUAAAAAAUUGUUUUAAGUUUUGAAAUUUUGAAACUAAUACAUCCGAUGGUUAUUUUAAGUAAUUCUUUAAUCUUUAAUAAAUAAAUUAAAUAUUUUAAUUUCGAAUUUAAGAUAAUUACAAAUAGUUGAUUUUAUUAUUUAUUCCUAUUGCAUGUAAUUAAUAUUUUUUAAUUAUUUAAAAAUGAUAUUUUUUGUGGUGCUGACAUGUGUCGUUCUAAUUCUAAUUAUUGACAUGUGUCUAUAUUUGUUGAUUUAAUUAAUGAUUAUUAAUUAUUUAAAAUACUGAAAAUUUGUGAUGUUGACAUGUGUCAUUUUUUCUUCUCCUUUUAUAUAUUGAUAGAUGAUUGACUUGUGAAUAUAAAUAUUUUUGGCUGAGGACCAUAUGUGUAACUUUCCCAAAUAAAAAAAUUGUCUAAAAUCUUUUGGUUGGAGACUGGAGUGUUUCUUUUGCUCUUAAAAUAAAAUUAAGAAAAAUAAGGAAAGAAAGCAAAGGAGGAUAAUGGUCACUAGUUUUAAGGUUAGUAAACAUAUUGAUGACAAGAAUUGACCUUUUGUCUCUUUGUUUGAAAUUUGAUACGCCAAUUUCGUUGACGAAAUGUAAUUAUUCCUAAGUUUUGCUUAGUUUUAUUUCUUUCUAACUUUCGAUCGAGUAAAUUUCACUUUACCCCUUUAAAACUUUAUGCUGAAGACGACAUAUCAUACCUCUUAAAUUUUCCAUGGAGAUAAACUUUCAAAUCAAGAAUUUUUGGACAAUUCUCGUUUUACCUUUAAGUAAUUUAAUAUUGAUUAACCUGGUGCAAUGGUAGGUACUCGAUCAUCUUUAACAAGAUGUCUUGGAUGCGAGUAGUGAAUACAUAGUCGUUUUUAUUAAGAAACAUUUUAUCUCUAAUGUGAGACUUUUACUAGAAGUCGAAUUUAAUCAUGUUUCAAUGUAGGUAUGAAAUACGGAUGAAAAAAAGAAUAAGAGUACUUUAGAAAACAUUCUUCAUCAUUUUGUCUAAUUUUUUGGAUUGGUGCUAAAAUUAAUGAUACCACUUGAUUAAUCUAGAAGACUUUAAAAUCAUUUUGUUCAAUUUGACAUCAUAUCAUUUUUCUUUUUUGCAACCGAAAAAAAAAAGAGUCUUUGACCAGGGGAUUUUUUUUUUGUGCCUAUACAAAAUUUUAAAAAAUGUUUGGAUAGAUAAAGUGAAAUUUGUACUCUUUAUUUACAGCAAAUCCAACUUUUUGAGAGAGACAGACACCAAUAACACACUCUGUUCUCUCAAUCCCAAUUCCAUAAGGCUAAAAAACAGAGAUUACAAUAUGCAAGAUCCAUCAUCAAUAUAUUCACAGAUCAAUCAUCAAUUCCCAGAUCAACAAGUCUUGAAAUGUCCUAGAUGUGAUUCAAUCAACACAAAGUUUUGUUACUACAACAAUUACAACCUUUCUCAGCCACGCCAUUUUUGUAAGAAUUGUAAAAGGUAUUGGACUAAAGGAGGUAUUUUGAGGAAUAUUCCAGUUGGUGGAAGCUCUCGCAAGAACACAAAACGAUCUUCUUCGAAUAGCUGUAAACGCUCCUCAACCAUGUCGAUUUCAUCUGAACAAAAUUCAAAAACAGAGCAUUUUGCUACCCCUGUUGUUCCGGCUUUUGAUCAGAAUAGCCCAAUUCUUGACGCGAACGGGCCUUUCGGCUCGCUAUUGGCAUCAAACGGGCCGGAAAUAGGGAAUUUUUUAGAUGUUUUGAAUCCUAACGGGCCCAAUUCGGGUGCAGAUGCUGCUGCUCAAAGUGGGAAUAGUAAUAAUAGAGAUGAAUUUUUGGGUGAAGAUUCUAAUUGUUGGAAUGGUACUAAUGGUUGGGCUGAUCUUGCUAUUUACACCCCAGGUUCAACCUUUCAGUAAUAUAGAUUAUUAGAACUUGUAUUAGUACUACUAAUACUUCUGAAAAUGCACUUAUCUUUUUCUAAGCAUGAAUUGUGCAAGUGUUGUUUGCGGAUUGUAUACUAUUACUAGUAGUUUCCAGAUCAGCUUGUCGUGCAUUUCAGGUUUUUAUUAAUACAUGUACUGAGUAACUCUAUUCAUGUUUACGAAAACUUAAUAUUUUUACUUUGCAUCACACUAGUUUUGUUUGGGUAAUGCUUAAUAUACGUACAUAAUUGUGUGUGAUUUGUGACUUCAUGUAUGUUAUUCCAAGGGAAAUGAUAAAUUAUGCAAUUUUUUCCUUUUGUUUUUUGUGCUGAUAUUUUCCUCUUUUUUUCAUUAUUAAUGACUUCAUUUUCAUUAGUAGAAAGAUAUUUUUUGGGUGUAUUGGUGACGAUUAUUAAAAGAUUUGCCGUUGCUCCAAUAAUGUAGGCAAAUGGAUACAAUGUAUUAGGCUCAGCACGUACGUAAUGGCAGACGUCUAUUGUCCAUAAUUACCAAAUAUGAGUUUGAGUGGUAUAUAUUAAUAGUAUAAAUUACAAGUAAUUCUUGAGAUAGUAAAUAUUAAUUAGUGAACUGAUAAAAUUGUAAUUAUAACUAACUUGUCAUCACAUGUUAAACUAGUUGAUUAGAUGAAUAUCUACCUAUAAUAAGUGGACUGAAAAUUAAAAAUGAGAUCUCUCAAUUUAGUACAUCCACCUUAACUUGGUAAUUACCUUGUAAACAAUUCAAUUGUUAUAGUAGGCGUUUGGACACAAAAAUGAAAUAAAAUUGUAUGAACAAAGGGUAGCAAAACCUUUUUUCUUUCUUCUAAGGUUGUGUUCAAAAGAAGAAAUUGUGAGAAGCACAUUGAAUUGUGAAUGUGGUAGUUGGUGGAGCUGCUAGUCAGAAUGUGAUGUGAUGAUUAUCAACUAAGUAAAAUUGUCAAAAUGAAGAAAUUUUUAUCAAAAUGGGCCACAAAUCAUGAUGUACAACUCCUAUAUAUGGACCACUUCUAAGUUCUGGGGAAUUUAUAUUUGAUUAAUUGAUUCCUAUCUUAAACCAACUCACAUGAGAAUGUGGACCUAUUAUUCACUUGACCAACUCCCCCAUUCAAUAUUAUAUAUAUGUAAGUAUCAUAAUAGGCGUGUGUUUAAUUCUUACGAUUCCCUACUGUUAAUUAUUUUAUGAUUUUGAAAAAAAAAUACCAUAUAUGUGUAUGUGUGUGAUGACUAAAUUUCAGUUAUAAAUGAGUUAUGAUACAUUCAAAAGUCAAAGUGAAUGUGUUACAAAAUGGUCUGAUAUUAAUUACUAAUUAACUACUUCAACCCUACAGCUAGUGCUAGUGUGAGUGAUUGGUCUCUGUUUGCCAACCAAAUUUGCAGCCUUCUGACUUCAGUUUCUGAUAUGACAAUAAAUGUAAUGGUCUAUUUGUAAGGUGGAAAAUUCAUCAUAUUGUUUCUCAUUUUGAAAAGAAAUCAUAUAUAACCAUCGAUUUGUUUUGAGAUCUUUAGGCAAAUUGAGUUGACUUACAAUUCUUAAGGAAGAUUUGAUAAGUCCUUGUGCCACUAACUAGUGGAGGGACUUAGCUUAGUGAUUACCUUUGAUUACUUCAAAGAAGGGGAAGAUUGAUUGAGGGCCCGGACAAUGUUAUUAUAAUUUUGAUUUUUUACUUGUUACUAUUUAUUGGUUACGACUCAUUUGUUUGUAUUUAAUAAAGGUCUGAGUUCAGACCUUAAAUUAUCAAGUAUAUUUUUUAUAUCAAGACUUGAGGAUUUAUUUGUUUUGAGAAGAUUUUAAUCAUUGAGCUCUUGAAGAAAGUCUUAAUAUCAAUAGGCGAUAGUUUGUGUGAAUAAUUCUCAUCUCUAUUUUAUCCAUAAUCAGCGAUCACCACCAGUCCAUCACUAACCAUCUAUGCCAUCACAAUCAUUGGCAACCACCACUACUGACACCAAUCACCUCUGUCAUCACAAUCAUCACUAACAACCACCAUCAUUGUCAACCACUAUUGUCGAUCGCUACCACACUUAUCAGUUCCAUCAUUAUAAUCAUAUCCCUUGCCACCACUGCCGCCUUGGCCACCACCCCUGUUACGAUCAAUCCCUACUACCAAUCACCCACCAUCACAAUUAACACUGUCGUCAACCACAACCACCAUCACUUAUACACUAUUGUGUAGUGAUUAUUUACUAAUUAUAUACUAUGCAUCUAUGUAUAAUAAGGUUUACAAGUAAUAUGCAAUUGUUUCAAACGAAGGUCAAUAUUUAAGUUUGAGAAUUUUGUGCAAUUUCGAUUAAUUUUUUUUAAAAAAAAGUUAAAAUCAGGUGAAUAAAGUGAUAAUAGGCCUAUAUUUAUUGUAUAAUUAAUGGAUAGGAUAUACAUAUUGAUUAUACACAAAUUAUGUAGUGAUUAUUCAUCAAUUAUACAUUAUAUAAUUAUGUAUAAUGUUUAAAAGUAAUAUACAAUAGGUUCAGACGAAGUAAAUGUUGAAGUUCUCUAACUUCAUAACCACAUACUAAAUGUACUUCGUUUAUAUGGAUUUGAGCUCAAACUAAACUCAGGUGACUUAAAACUUUCAUCUUUGCAAGAGUUACACCUUGAGGCUUCAUUUCUGGAUGAGCAAUUACUUCAAUAUCUAUGCACAACUUGUAAUCAUUUACAAGUUUUGUCUUUGAAGGGAUUUCAUGGAGACAUGGACUAAACAUCAUAGAGAUUUCUGUUGCUAAACACCAUGAAGAUCUCAAGUGCUUGGCAAUCAUUGCGUGUGAUAAUUUGGUUGUGGUUGAUGUGGAUGCUCCUAACUUAUUUGUAUUCACAUAUCAUGUUCAUUAUGGAACCACACUCAAACUGAAAGGUUCACAUUUGCUGGAAGCUCAUCUCACCUUGAUCCUAAAAACCAUUGACUCUCAUUGGUACUCUAAGCUCACAAAGUCUCUUGGUAACUUUGAUCAUUCCAAGUCUGUUAAUCUACGAUGCGAUUGUGAUGAGGUACAUGGAAUAGAACUGUCUACUUAGUACUUAUUACCUUGCCUAAAUAAGCAGAUCAGAUGUGAAUUUCUAACAGUUCUUCUUUUUGCUUGUACAGGUGAUAGUUAUACCAAAAGACAUGAGAGGAAACUUCAAUCCUCCACUUUAUGCUACUAAUGGUUUCCAUGUAAACAUUCAUAAUCUAGUGAAGCAUUCAGUUGUGGACGUUCUUGAUAGUUUGUUUUGGAUUUCUCCCCAACUCAGAACUGUAUCUUUUGACUAUGGCUUACAGACCAUGAAGGUAAUAUGUUUCAUCUUUCAAAGGCACCACACUUUGUGGCAUGUAUGUAAAAAUUAGUGGUGACUAAGGUUUCUUGCACCUUUGUUCUUUUUGAAGGUUUCCUUGCAAUUGGAUGAAGCUUCCCUGUUCUCUCAUAGUAACUGUUUCAUUCUCCAUUUUCUUAUCUUCCUUUAGACAUAGGGUAUGAGAGAGGAAUGGAAUUUAUAUGAUUCAUAAGUUGAUAACAAAGAGCUUUAACACUCUUUAUAUAGGUUUCAUGAUCGAUUGUCCAUGAAGACAUUUGUGUUCUUACAGGUUUUCGUUGUUUUGUGAUUUUGUAGUGUUAAUAUACAGAGAUGCAUCAGAUAAGGAUGAGAAACCUUGUUGUACAUGCGCAUCUCUACCUUUGAAAUGUUGAAGGCAUAAGUUAGAGGAAGUCAAAUUACGAAACUUUACGAGCAUGGAGCUGGAGAAGUUGAAAAACUAUUUUUUCACAAAUGCAGAUGAUUUGUAGAUAAUUUAAGUACCACCAGAAUGCAGACUUUGAGCCAAAUUCGUCCAUUACAAAAUUCCUUGGUUUUUCUGUGUUUUUGUUGCGUCUGGGGCUGUCUGAAUAAACUUCAGCAUGUCUCCAUAUUAUCAGCCCAUUGAGUAAUUUUCAUUGCCACUAUUACAGAAAUGUUUUUUCGUUCUAUCACUGGAGUUCUGUAAUUUUCAUUUUCGCUAUUACAUACUUUUUGCCGCAUUUCAUUUUUGGGGAUUCUUUCUUAACCUUGAGAAGUUCCUGGUUAAGAGGUCAUAGAAAUGUGUCAUAAUUUAAGUAGGAAAUUUACAAAAUGUUGAUGGAGGAACAUACUUUUAGUGAGCUAUUGUGUUUGCUCGUCUUCAUUUUGUGGGUAAAAAGAACAUGUAGUUAAUAUGAAGUCCGAUGGAAGAUUGGGAAGGUGCACUCCACUAUAAUGUUUUCCAACUUAACAGCUGUUCCACAUCUAUUGGCUGGGAUAAUGAAAUCUUGGGGAAAAAAUUCAACUGAUUUUGAUCUAUCAUUUCACAUCGUCCAUUCCAACUUCCAAACAAAUACACCAAGAAUAUACUGUACUCAUGAUCCACCUCGUAGAAAAGAAAAGGGCUAUAUAUUCCUCCUAAACACAUUUGCUCAAUUAGUUCCAGUCCAUAAAAAAAAAUGCAGUCGGAAGUCAGAACAGUUGCAUAUAUUAGCAGCUGGGUGCAACAACUUGCUCAGUACAAAGUUGGGAUAUCUAUCUAAUACUCAAUAGAUACAAGUACCUGGCCAUUGCCUCAUAACUUCAAUUAUUCAACUUGAAGUAUAGGUGCACAUUUUACCCUAUCCCUCAGACCGAGGUUUUCAGGGGAAAAACUCCAAAUAAGUUGAAGAUGAACAGCAGUUAUCCAGAUCGAAGAGUAAGUUACAUGAAGGAAAGAAUAAAGAACCACAGUUUAUAUCAGAUUUUUCAAAUAACAUACCCUAUAGAUGUGGCACAACCACAAGCAAAUUGGCAAGCUGAUCAGAGUAUCCCAAGUCUACUAGCGAUGUUUUAAGAAGUCUCAUGUUUCCAUUAAAGCCUACUUCGAAGAAACACAGACCAUCUGAUAUCCCCUUACGAUACUCUCAGGCUUCAGCUGCUUAGGUAUAUAGAGUUAUGAAGGGUCGUCAUCAUCCCCAAGGACCACAACUAAUUCAGAAGUUCAUAUCAUUGGACUUAGAGAACCUCAAGGAUGACACAAGUUUAGUUAAAGAGGUGACCUUAUGUGGGUUGAACUUGAUAAUCAACUACAUUUAACCUCACAUCUUUCUUAAAACUUCGUGAAUUCCGGGAUGUACCAAAUGUUCAGCAUUCAAAACUUAGGCAUAUGAUGCACAUCUCAUCUACAACAGGAAAACACCAAAACCAACCCACGGCUUCUUCACAAUCACAUAGCAUCAUAAAUUCUCAAAAAUGUCAGCCCAUAUCAGUCCAAAUUGGACACUAAGAAUCCUCUACUAUUCUGAAGAAGAAGCUACCAUGCACAUCUACUUGAGAAUAGGCUUAAGAUGCUGUCGCAAUGUCUAAUAGCAAACAUACAGAAGUCACAGGCUCAAUUGGUAAAGCAAAUUGACUACACAAUCACAAGAGAGUAAAAUGUACAUAGAAGUGUUCAAUCUUAAGUAUGCAACAGAUAAAAUUCCACAUACUGCAUCACAUUACACCAAUACCAAAGCCUCUAUAUUAACAGUAAGAAUCUUUAGUUUCUCAAUUACCCACGCGCCUUGAGCUCAGCAAGACGCCUGGACAGAUCAUCCUCACUGACCUUCUCCUCAUCCUUAGAAGAUAUAGCAUGGCCGGCUGCUUGCGGAAGCCCCACGGACACCUCGAGUCCAUAGUCAUCAGCCACCUGUUGCAUCAGGCUGCCGACCUGAUCCUCAGGAGUCGAUAAGGAAGUACUUCCAGCCAUAGAACUCUCCAUGAAUUCAGCUUGAACCUCCAUAUUCACAAACUGACGCUCGAAUGAAUCCAUCGUCUCCGACAUUUUCUGUAGAUUCCCUGUGUUGAGUGAAGACUCCAGUGAUUUGACGAUCGAGGACAUUGACUUGCUGAUCGUCGUCAUCUUCGCCUGCGUACACAAAACAUAUCACAAUUUACUAGUUAUAUGUACAUAAUCGAGAUGUGGACGCAUGUGCGCCACUGUUUAAAUGUUGGAUCGGUCUUUACCUGGGUAUCUAGGCGAGCCACAACGGCGUCAAGGCGAGAGGAGAGACGGAGAUAGUUCAUCUGUUCGCUGCGCUUGCGGAUGGCGUUUUCGGCGUAAAUUCUAGCGCCGUCCAUGUUACCUUUCUCGAUGGCUUUCUUCACCUUGAGUUUCUCAGACUUUUCGUCCUUCUCGCAUUUUCGAGCUUGGCGUUGGAGACUCUUCGAUGUGAACUUGAGCUCCAUGAUCUGAUUCAUCAAUUUCUCGGCGUUUCCCAUUUUCUAAGCUUUGGUGAUGGAGUCUUUCGAUUGUUUUUGGCGAUUCUUCUCCUUUGAUCGAUCAAUCACCUUUUCAAUUUCUGAAGUUAGGGUUUGCAGUUGUCCCUUUCGGAUUUUGGAUAUGCCCACUCAAUUUUGUAGGGCCAGGGGCAAUCGGGUCAAGUUUCUUUACUUCAUUGCUAAUUCUUUACUUGAUUUUUUGAUCCCUUAAUUUCUGAUGAAUUUCGAGUUUGUACCUCUUACUUUAUGAUUAAGCGCAUUAAUCCCUCAAUCAAAUACUCCUCAAUUAAAGUGUGCCCUCCUAGUCCCAAGUUAAGGCAAUUUUUAAAAUUAUAUUACUCUCAUAAUUAUGUUAUUAAACAAUUAAAUAUUUGUGUACUUUGCUCCUGUUGAGUGACUUACUGACACAAUUGCUUAUAUUACAGAUUCUGCUAUGUAUUUUUAUAGUCAUUUAUUUAUGCUUAUGUUAUUAAGGAUAAAUGAUAAGAUGUAAUAAUUUUCAUUUUCCUUUACAUUAUUAAUGUUUGUUACCACGUAAUCUUGUAUAUAAGAUAAUACAGUGUUUUAGUUUUAAUGACUGAUAGAUUUUAAGUAUUAUUUUAUAAAUUCCAUGAUAUUAAAUUCAUGUGCGAAGCGCGAGUAAUUUUACUAGUACUUAAUAUAAUAGAAAUAACUUUAAAAAAUUCUUUCAUCUUUAAAUUAGUCCCUAAAUUAUUUCAAGUUCAGAAUGAUUCCUCCGUUAACGACACAAUUAUAUCAUGUAAUUGUGUUGUCAAUGGAGGGACAAUUUUAAGCUUAAAAAUAACAUUGAAUGCGAAUUUGAUUCAAUGAGUGGAGGGACAUUUUUGAGUAAUUUCUACUAUGUAGAAGACAUUUGUUUAUCUGAUAGGUGAACAAAUUAGACAAAUUUGAUUAAAUAGGAGGAGGGGAUAUUUUUGAGUUGUUUUUACUAUGUUAAGAGCACUUUUUUUUUUUUUUUUGAUAAAUACCUGAUGUAAUAGUUAACAAAUUGUUAAACUUAUAAAUAUUUCGCCUAUAAAAAGAUUAAAGUACAUAUUUUUAUUGAUUGAAAGGUUAAAUAGAUGUAGUUUGAAGGAGUAAAAAUGCAAUUUUCUUACUCGGUUAUAUCCUCUGCGUAGGAUUAAGAAAUCAAUUUCUUCUGCGAGUUGAUUUUUUGCUACACUUGUUUUCCUUUUAUUGGGUCCAUGAAUAGUAGUGAGAAUAAAAACUGGAACUCAUUAAUCAGAAUAACUGCUAUCUUUAUAAAAUCUCAAAUAGAACGUAUAUUUUAGCCCAAAAAUCUAGAAAAAUAUGAACUCAAAUAGCAAACUUUCGGGUACUCGAGGACACAGGGAAGAAAAAAAAUCAAGUGCAGCUCAAUGCUCAUAAGCCUAACAUAUUCUAGAAUGGGAAUCUAGGCCUGCCUGUUCCUCUUCUUGACACCAGAUUUCGCAACCUUGAGACUCUUGUUCACAGCACUCAAUCUUGCAAGGGAUGCCUUCUUCAGAUCUGGCCUGUAAUAGUUAUCUGCUACCUGUAUCAUAUGCAAAUUCAAGAUUGUAACAUCAGAAAUAGUGAAGGCAAAGAAGAACCUGCUGAGAAAAAAUAAUCAAAUUACCUAACAAAAAUACUAAUGCUAUAAAGGAAACCAUAUAUGUGCAAAAGUAACAUUGAGACAGCAAUCUUGCAAGGAAACCAUGCAAAUUGACAGAAAUUAAUGAGAAAAUCUGAAGAAAAAAUAUGGUAAAUGAAAGGAAGCAUUUAUGAUGUGCAUAUUUAUCUGAUAGCAAAAAAUUGAAUCAACAAUUCAAAAGGGUAUAGGUAUAUUCAACAACAUACCCAGUGCAAUACACAACCUACAACAGAAAGGUGGAGGUAUAUUCAUUACAUAGAAUAUGUCGAGCACAAUUUGGAGAAAAUGGUAAACAGUAGAUAGUAAUCAAUAACCAGACAUGUUUUAAUGCUCAGAUAACUCCAAUUGCCAGCUCUCUAGAAUGUGAAUUUUUAAUUCGGUUUACAACUCCUUGUAUUCAUCCAAAAAAAAAAAAACGUCAUACAACAAAUUACAUAAGCCUUUCGAAACAAUCAAGGAGUGAACGAUCAAACCCAUGAUCAUUAUAAGCAAUUAAUAUGCAGCUUAAGACCAAACAAAUUCAUGUAAAUAUACACAUUCUACUGGUCAAAAAGGACAAUCACCUGAUUUGACACAGCCUUGGCCAUGCGCCUAAACUCCUUCUUCAUUACAGAUUUAUUCAGCAAACUUGAAGGCUUGUUCUGUUUCUUGGUCUUUGAAGUAGCAAGCAACACUGAUUGAUCUUUGCCUCCAGGCUGGAUGGUCACAGUCUUCUUGUUUGCUAGGCCUACAAAGUCAUGACAGCAGCAGUUUAACUAAUGCUUAACAUGAGCAAUGGAAAACUAAAAUAGCUAAAACUAGAAAUCUAACUCAUUCAGCAAUGCAAUGUUCCGUUCAAUGACUAUUACAAAUUCAAGUUAUUCUUUCAUGUAAGAAUUUUCCAUACGACAUACUAACGGGCUUAAGAGGCUUAUCCCACGUGCUAGGUGCUCUCUGGCUAGUGCGGAGUAAGGGGACAGUGGACAGAUACUAUAUGUAGUCUCCCCCUUUCAUUUCUGCAAAGAGCCUCAAACUAGUAACUCAAUUAUGGUUCACCAAAAAGGCUACUCCAUCUUCGAGCCAUGGCUUGCCCACCUAAAACAUACUAAUGAAAUAUGGAAAAUAGCUGAAUUUCCUUACAAUUUGAAUGCAUAUACUAUUUAUUUCCAGUUUUCCAACAUCACAUUAAGUGCAAGUAGGAAAAAAAAUAUACUCCACAAAACAGCUAUCAGUUUAGCUCGAACAAUAAAACAUUUCCCCAAAACUUAAUACCAUGUACUACCGUAUAAGCUCAAGGUACCACUAUUCGCAACAGAAACCAAAUUUGUUAAAUCGACAUAAGCACAGGGUAAUGUUUACAAUACUAACCAGAAUGCUUGUAAGAGUGAAGAUUGUAAAGAUUGUUAGGCUCUUUGCUGAAUACGACACCGGCGGUACCAUUACCAAACUCCUUCACCAAAAAUGAGUUGUUUUUCUUGACGAUCUCCCAAACCAGUUGCGCUGGAACUGUCGUCAUUUUUAUACCACCUACCCUGUCAAUUGGAUCACAAAUUAAGCUAAAUUAAUCACGUCGAUUGAUCUGCAGAGAAGCAAAGAUGCAUUCGGGACUUACUGUGAGUAGCAAAAGGGUCUGUAGAAUUUCGGUUCGACGGCCUGAACAAGAAGACGCAAUAAACUUAAAAGGAAGACGGCAGUGAAACCCUAACAGAGAAAUUGGUACAUAACAUUAUAUUACCGAACUGCCCUCUCUAUUUUAUUUUCUACUUUUUUUCCAAUGAGAAAAUUAUCAUUUUUUAUCGCAUUUAUGUUAUUUUUUACAAAUUUUAUUUGCAACUCUUAUUUAUGCUGCUUUUUACAAAUAAAAAGGAUUGAAUAAUUAAAAUAAUAUUUAUAAUGAAGCACGAAACACUUAAAAUUAAGGUGUGAGAUUGGACGUUGUAGUUCAUUAAUUACAUAUAUUAUUUUUAUAUUAUAUAACACAAAAUAUUUGUCAAGAAAAUAUACUAUAAGAUGGAUUAUCUUUAUAUGAUUAUUUCUUUUAUUAAAAUUUUAUUUAUAUAAUUAUAUUUAUACGUAACAAUACAUAGAUGAUCUUGAUAUGAUCAUAUCUUUUAUUAAAAUUAUAUUAAUUUAGGCAUGGAGAAUAUUUCCUUUCAUGAUCAUCUUUUACGGUGCUAUUAUGAUUUAAACACAUAAAGUUUGUUAUGACAUGUGUUUUUGGUUGCUGAAUUACUCAUUGAGAAGCCUCUAAUCGAAUUUAUAUGAAUUUUACGGAGUAAAUAAAUAAUAGUAUAACAAUAAAAAAACAAAUUACUCAUUGAGAUAACCUCUAAUCAAGUUUAAUGGUGUAGCCUAAAAGUCACUCAAUCUAUUUAAUUAAUUGUUUCAUUAAAAUUUAAUAAUAUGGAAUUUUUAUUUAAAAACAAUUUAAAAAAUAUAUAUAUAUUUAAACCAUUUUAAUGACGCGACCCAUUAGAAAUACAACAUGUUUUGUGAUAAUGUACCAAGAUAAAAACAAGAUUUAGAUUAAAUUUUAUAUAACCAGAUUUAGUUUGAGAUUGAACUACAGUUAAUAAUAACUUAAUAUAACUUCAAUUACAAAUGAUUCGUUAGGAUAAUGUUUGACCAAAUUCAGAAAACAAACAAUUUGAUUAAUUGACAUCUUACUUUUCGAGUGAAAUAACAAGAAAGAGAAAUUUAUUUCAAAGAGAUUACUUUGCCUUUCCAAAGAUGAAACAGAUUUUGAAUCCAGCUGAAUUAGGAUUAAGAAGUAUAUAAAAGAAGCUAAAAAUAACCAUGCUACAAAAUAAAAAUAAGGAGAAGAAAUAAGUUUAAAUAGAUAUAUUUUUUUCCUUCAAAUUUUUUGUUUUAGAUAAAAAAAAUUGACAUUAGCAAAUCUUAAUGAAAAAAUUGAUUAAAUAGAUUGAGUAACUUCGUCAGUAAAUUUUAAUAGUUGAGUGAUUUUUGAGUUAAAAAUCAAAGUUAAGUGACUUUAUAAAAGAAAAAUUCAUACUUGAGUGACCAUAUGAGACGUUAUCUCUAAAAAAAAAAAAAAAGGACACCGUCAAGCUCGAAUAGAAUGUCUACCAUUAUAACCAUGGAUAUGUCAUUGCAGAUACAAUAGUGUUCUCUCUUUUUUCUAUUUUAUGUUCUACAAACACUGUUAUGCCAGAAAAUACACUCCAAAUGUUUGUUAGGUUUCUUUCCAAAAGAUCGAUAGUUGGCCAAACUAGUCAAAUUGGACCUUAAAUUAGGUAAAAGAAAAAAGAUUGACAGCUAAUAAUUAGACACGUUAAUAUCGGUAAUUAAUUGUUCUAUAAGUCGUUACACAUAGGGGUGUUCACGAUUUGGAUAAAAACCAAUCCAAACCGAAAAACCAAACCAAACCGAUAAAAUAAAACCGAUUUUAUUUGGAUUUGGUUUGGUUUGGUUUUAGAUUUUUGAAAACCGAUAGUAUUUGGUUUGGUUAUGGUUUUAUUCGAAAAACCCCGAAGAAAUAACCGAACCGAACCGAUGAAUUAUAUACAUAUAUUUUAUUAAUAUACAUACUUAAUAUAUUAUUUUUAUAAACAAUUUUAAAGAUCUUAUACAUAUUUUCAUUAAAAUUUCUUUAUAAUUUACUUAUUGAAAGCAAAAAUGUCCAAGAUGAAACAUUUAUCUUAUUGAUUUCAUGUAUAUGAGUGUCUAUAUCAAUUCUUUGUGGUACUGAAAAUGUUAUUGUCUCUUCCUUCUAGGCCAAUAUAGUGAAUUUUAAAGCUUUAUUGAUAGUAAAUUUAGUGAUUGAAAGUUUAGUAAUUUAAGUCAUUCUAACUAUUUUUCGUUUUGAAUGGAUUGUUGUCACUUUUUUCACAUUUUAAAUGAAUUGUUUCUUUUAUUUUUGUGUAUGGUUAAUAACCGAAUAACCGAACCAAACCAAACCGAAAUCGAUAAUCACCAAACCGAUAAAUGUAUAUUAUAUUUGGUUUGGUUUGGUUUUGAUAAUUUUAAAACCGAUUAAGUUGAUUUGAUUUUGAUUUUAANNNNNNNNNNNNNNNNNNNNNNNNNNNNNNNNNNNNNNNNNNNNNNNNNNNNNNNNNNNNNNNNNNNNNNNNNNNNNNNNNNNNNNNNNNNNNNNNNNNNNNNNNNNNNNNNNNNNNNNNNNNNNNNNNNNNNNNNNNNNNNNNNNNNNNNNNNNNNNNNNNNNNNNNNNNNNNNNNNNNNNNNNNNNNNNNNNNNNNNNNNNNNNNNNNNNNNNNNNNNNNNNNNNNNNNNNNNNNNNNNNNNNNNNNNNNNNNNNNNNNNNNNNNNNNNNNNNNNNNNNNNNNNNNNNNNNNNNNNNNNNNNNNNNNNNNNNNNNNNNNNNNNNNNNNNNNNNNNNNNNNNNNNNNNNNNNNNNNNNNNNNNNNNNNNNNNNNNNNNNNNNNNNNNNNNNNNNNNNNNNNNNNNNNNNNNNNNNNNNNNNNNNNNNNNNNNNNNNNNNNNNNNNNNNNNNNNNNNNNNNNNNNNNNNNNNNNNNNNNNNNNNNNNNNNNNNNNNNNNNNNNNNNNNNNNNNNNNNNNNNNNNNNNNNNNNNNNNNNNNNNNNNNNNNNNNNNNNNNNNNNNNNNNNNNNNNNNNNNNNNNNNNNNNNNNNNNNNNNNNNNNNNNNNNNNNNNNNNNNNNNNNNNNNNNNNNNNNNNNNNNNNNNNNNNNNNNNNNNNNNNNNNNNNNNNNNNNNNNNNNNNNNNNNNNNNNNNNNNNNNNNNNNNNNNNNNNNNNNNNNNNNNNNNNNNNNNNNNNNNNNNNNNNNNNNNNNNNNNNNNNNNNNNNNNNNNNNNNNNNNNNNNNNNNNNNNNNNNNNNNNNNNNNNNNNNNNNNNNNNNNNNNNNNNNNNNNNNNNNNNNNNNNNNNNNNNNNNNNNNNNNNNNNNNNNNNNNNNNNNNNNNNNNNNNNNNNNNNNNNNNNNNNNNNNNNNNNNNNNNNNNNNNNNNNNNNNNNNNNNNNNNNNNNNNNNNNNNNNNNNNNNNNNNNNNNNNNNNNNNNNNNNNNNNNNNNNNNNNNNNNNNNNNNNNNNNNNNNNNNNNNNNNNNNNNNNNNNNNNNNNNNNNNNNNNNNNNNNNNNNNNNNNNNNNNNNNNNNNNNNNNNNNNNNNNNNNNNNNNNNNNNNNNNNNNNNNNNNNNNNNNNNNNNNNNNNNNNNNNNNNNNNNNNNNNNNNNNNNNNNNNNNNNNNNNNNNNNNNNNNNNNNNNNNNNNNNNNNNNNNNNNNNNNNNNNNNNNNNNNNNNNNNNNNNNNNNNNNNNNNNNNNNNNNNNNNNNNNNNNNNNNNNNNNNNNNNNNNUUGUGGAACUGAAAAUGUUAUUGUCUCUUCCUUCUAGGCCAAUAUAGUGAAUUUUAAAGCUUUAUUGAUAGUAAAUUUAGUGAUUGAAAGUUUACUAAUUUAAGUCAUUCUAACUAUUUUUCGUUUUGAAUGGAUUGUUGUCACUUUUUUCACAUUUUAAAUGAAUUGUUUCUUUUAUUUUUGUGUAUGGUUAAUAACCGAAUAACCGAACCAAACCAAACCGAAACCGAUAAUAACCAAACCGAUAAAUGUAUAUUGUAUUUGGUUUGGUUUGGUUUUGAUAAUUUUAAAACCGAUCAAGUUGGUUUGGUUUUGGUUUUGACCAAUAACUGAUCCAAACCAACCCGUGAACACCCCUAGUUACACAUAUCGGAAUCUACAGUUUCUUUUAAUUUUCCACUCUAAUACUAAGUACAUUAUUAAGUGCCUAGAUAGAUCAUAGAUGAACUUAUUAUCUUUGCAAAAGGACAAUUCAAGACAAGUCUGACAAUAUUAAAAUAUUAGAUUCAUAAUUCAGACGUCUCGGGUUUGAAUCUCCUUGAAUAUGAACAAUCUUUUGUUAACAAGAAUUUUACUCUCCGGUGCGAAUCCGUAAUUUUGAUGACUACGUGACAUAUAUAAAAUGUUACAGUAGAUAAGGUUAUUUUUUAUAUGUUUACGAAGUCACUGUCGACAAAUGAAAUCAGUUUCUUUGUAAUUAAUCACAUAAGAAAAUCCGUACAAUAUAAUUAUGUGGACAAGGGGAUAUUGGUUCAAUUAGAUUAUUCAAAUGAUUCUGGCAAUUAGGCGGCAGUAACAAGAUUAAUAUUCAUUAGUGAAUUAGUUCUACUUAGAAGAAUAACUUCAAAAGGAAAAGUAUUUUAAAUUUAUAGUCAAAAUUUCCAGAAGAUAAUGAAAUAUAUAUUACUGAAAUAAAAAGUACAAAAAUAUAAAAUUGGAACUGAAAUAAUGACUUUUUGGCUAAAAAUGAUUUCAGGUUUAAUUGAAGGAGCCGUUUGGUUGAUUGUAAUUUGUAGUAUAAUUAAUCACGUUAUAAGAUACAACAUAAUAUAAUGCAAUGUUUAGUUAGUGGUAUAAGAAAAAAUAAGUAUCGCAUUAAGUUGUGCAUAAAUUUAUGUAUGUGAGAUUAAAUAUGAAAUAAAAAUAUGUGUAUUAGCAAUAAACAAAUUUGUAUAACAUUAAUCCUUUCUUUAGUCAUUGCAUAAUGAUUUUUUUUAUUAAUUACUAUUACAAAACAAUUAAUUCAUUAUUAAAUUCAGAUUUCACCUCAAGAAAUUAAAGGAUAUUCUCAUGUUUGUAAUUUGAAAACAAGUUUCAUUAGUUAUUUUUUUGCAAUGACAAUACAUACGUUAAUUAUUUAUUAAUUUAUACUUAUUUUUCUUGUACGAUUUUCAUCACAUAUGUAUUUCAAUAUUAAUUAUAUUCUUUUUAAAUAUUAAUACUAAUUAGCAUGAGAUGCAAUCCAACACACAUGUUCGAAUAUUUCACUAUAUAAACCGAACGAUACGUAAGGUAGAGGUACAAGAGUUUUAUUUCUAUUCUAACUUGUAAAAAGUGACAGUUGACACCAAGAGAUUGAAUUCUUCAUAGACUUUUCAUCAACUCUAGAAUAUAGAUUAAAUUAGGCACCUUCUGACUAUUAAAUAUUGAAGAAGAAAGAAACUUCCAUUUACUUUUACUUUUUCAUUUUUUCUUUUUGUACAUGUUAAUUUUAAUUUAUUAAAAAAAAAUCAUUUAAUAAUAUUUUACUUUCAAAUCAUUUUUAAAAAAUCUAAUACGAAAUAUUAAUUUAUCAAUCAUUAUUUCUUAACGCCUUUAAAGUCCCAUGGCCAUGGAUAAGUAAGAGGGUGAGUUGAGAGUAUACUCUACGUCCAAAAUAUAGAUCAUGCAUUCCCAAUUAAAAAGGAUGACUUUUAGUUUAUUUAUAUUAUGUUAGCAACUAACUUGGUUUGUGUUGACUUUUCUCUAUUCAUGUUUUUUUAUUUUUCUAAUCGAUAUUAUAAUGGAGCAUGAUUAAUUUAAAUUUAUAUUAUAUGUAACUCAUUUAGAAAAGUACUCUCUAUUAAAAAAAAAAAUUAUAUUUAAAGCUCGAAAAUGAGACAUAUGAUCAAGAGAAAAACAAUCUUUAUCUAUGGUAUAAUCUGCACAUGUAUAACUAAUUAUACACUUCAAACUAAAAUUUGAUCAGGACUAAAAAAGGAAUACAAAGAAAUGAGAAGGAACAAAUAACCAAAACAUAAUUGCUUAGAAACCUCUUGUUCGAAAACAAUUAUAAGAUUAGAUUGAUUAUAUAUGAGAGUCAACACUCAACACAUCUAUUUUUAUGUGAAUUGAGUUGUUAAUUCUUUAAAUAUAACUAUAUAUUAUAAUAAAAGAAUAAAAAUUGACAAUUUUAUGAUAAAGAGAAUUUAAUAUUAUUUUAAAAUUAUAGCUAAUGUUUCCAUAUAUAAAUAUCGCCGUCAUUUGAUAUUAAGGAGCCUUUUUUGUUUCGGAAAUUUUCUCACAUUUAAAUAUUUUUUUGGCAUAAAAAGAAAGUGAAUAUUUCCUUCCUUUUUUGUUUUAUUCUUUUCAAAAUUUGUUUUUGCAAAAGAAUUUUUAAAAAUAGUAAGCGAAGUUUAGUUUGGUAAACGUUUAAAUUUUAAAACCUUUUUGUGAUUUUAUUCCCUCCAAAAUAUCUUUUACUUUCACCUUUUGAGAUUCAAAUAACUUGUUGGUUAUUAGUCGAUUUCUAAUUUUUACCAAAGAAGAGUUUAUAACUCUAUUUAAACAAUUUAUAUACCCGCAAACAAUUUGAUCAACAAAUUCCCCCACCUUAUUAAUAUACAAAAAAGUUUACAAUUUAUAAUUAAUUUUAUAAAAUUUUAAAAUAUUAAAUUUAUAUAAUCUAAUUUAGUUUCAGAAAUUAGUCAAACUUACCUUAAAAAAAUACUCAUUUUGAAAAGGCAAAAAACAUUAAAAUUUUGAACAAAACGCCACAAAUCGGAAAUUUCAAAGGCAAAAUUGAAAGACAAUUAUUUGUACAGAAAAGGAUGCCUCCAUAAUAAAACCCCAUGAGAACAGAACAUCAACAUUGGGAUCUGUGCACAGACUUGCAAUAAAUUUCCAUAGAAAUUUUUAUUUCAAGAUUUGUCUACUCUGCGAAAACAAGAACCAGUUUUCUUCUUCAAACCCAAACGUCUUUAAUAGUAGCUUGGAUUUUAGUUUUUAUCUUCUUCUUCUUAUUUUUUACUACUUGUUAAUGACAAAAUAGCAGCUUCACCUAUAUGGAUUUUGAUAAUAUCUGUUGAGAUAUUCUGUUUUAAAUUUUAAUUAAUUUUCUUAAUGACUAAUGUGAAAAAAUAGAAUUGAGAGAAUUUUUUUUCCCAAUUUGGUGUUCAAUGAAAGUUGAGUUUGGGAAUAUGGGGAUUUUGGAGCAUGGCAAAGACAACAAGCCUUUAUCAUUGAAAGUGCUUCAGUUUCUCUUGUUGUUUUUGGGUUUAGGAAUUGCUUUAUCAAUUUUAAGUAUGUGUAUGCUUAGAUUUGCAGAAUUGAAGAAUGUACUCCCUGUGGUUCAAUCGAGAAUAAAUCCAUGUUUUCAACAACAAAAUAGUUUAGAGAAUUGGAUUAGGCCUCUAUCAAACUUGCAUCAUUCAAUGAAUGAUGCUGAGCUUUUCUGGAGAGCUUCAUUUGUUCCUCAAAUGAAAAUUUUGCCUUUUAAGAGAACGCCUAAAAUCGCGUUCUUGUUCUUAACUAGGGGCUCUCUGCCUUUGGCUCCGUUGUGGGAGAGGUUCUUCAAGGGGAAUGAAGAGCUUUAUUCAAUCUACAUUCAUAAUUUGCCAUCUUACAAACCUGAUUUCCCAACUUCAUCUGUGUUUUAUGGCAGGCAAAUUCCUAGUCAGGUAAUGUGAUUGUACAAAUUUUAUUCAAAAUUAUGCACAAAAUAGUUUCCCUAGCUUUUGAAUUGUGUAAACCAUUUUAUCUAGUUACGUCUUCAACACGUCUCCUCACAUGAGAGGUUGAUAUGUUUUGAUGCUCAUUUAGAAGUGUUUAAGCCUUUAGAGAGAGCAGAAUUUAUUUACGUAAUUAUGUCUUCAAUAGUGACACUUUCGAAAGAGUAUCUAGCACCAUUGUUUGUCAGAAAUAUUUUCAUUUACAGGGUGAAGUUUAUUUGCUUCUUAUAUUAGAAGAUUGAUUUGAGUUAUUUUGGUGACGCAAGGCUGCAACUUUCUGAUUCCAUUUUUCCAUAUCCGUAUGUCAAAAGAUAUUUGUUGAUGCUAUUUCCAUGUUUUGCAACAUUUAGUGAUCCGAGUUGCUUUAGUAUUCUUCUAAACGUUGAUAUAAGAUAAGUAGAACUGACGAGGCUAGUUUGAUUCCAAUUUUUUUCUGAUCAUCUGAAAUCACCUCUGAGUCUAUUGUACUUAGUAGUAAUAUGUAUUCUGGUCAUAUAAUUAUGUGGCUUUCAUUUCGCGUAGGUGGCAGAGUGGGGGGAUAUUAGCAUCACUGAUGCUGAAAGACGGCUUCUUGCUAAUGCAUUGCUUGAUAUCUCCAACGAAUGGUUUAUAAUCCUAUCAGAGUCGUGCAUUCCUCUCCACAACUUCAGUGUUAUCUAUCGAUACAUAUCAGAAUCCAGGUACAGCUUUGUGAGUGUGUUUGAUGAUCCUAGAUCUGUUGGAAGAGGGCGUUACAAUUGGAAGAUGUCACCUGUGGUUAAAAUCACUCAAUGGCGUAAAGGAUCUCAGUGGUUUGAAGUUAACAGGAAAUUGGCUGUUGACAUUGUUACAGAUGAGGUAUACUACCCCAAAUUUAAACAGUUCUGCAAACCAUCAUGCUAUGUUGAUGAACACUAUUUCCCAACAAUGCUGCACAUCCAAUCCCCUCAUCUCCUGACAAAUACGAGUCUCACUUGGGUAGACUGGCAUAGAGGUGGUGCUCAUCCUGCUACAUUUGGAAAGGCUGAUGUUACAGAUAAGUUUCUCAAGCAACUUUCGGAAGGCCAGAGGACCUGUGUCUACAAUAACCAGACGACUUCAUAUUGUCUCCUUUUUGCUAGAAAAUUUUCUCCUAGUGCAUUAGACCCUUUAUUAAAACUCUCGUCCAAGUAUCUAGGCUUCUGAAAUUCCAUUGCUUUGUGAUCUGAUAUAUUCAAGUAUAAAAAUCAGCCUUCGGCCACAUGAUUGCUGAAGGCCUGAUGAAAUGAUAGACAUUGUCAUGUUAUACUAAAGAUAUAUCGAUAUUUAUGAUCAUGAUGAUAAUAUUAUAUGAAAUCCCAGUAUUUAAUAUUUGAGUUGGAUGUCUACUGUACUGGCAUGCAUUAACUUUUUCACAUCUAUUACAAUUUAGAUGCUCUAUUUGCAGUAUGAUACAUCAAUACUAUUAUGAUUCAAAACACCAGUUGUGGAAACAAAGCUGAACUUAAUUAUUGUUGACACAAGGGAAUGAUCGACACUAAAGUUUUGUUCAACAAAGGGUUGUAGGGAAUCAUUUACAUACUAAGACUAUUCAUGUGUGUAGAAUCACUAAACUAAAGAAAGCUACUUGCAGCAAAGCUUCCAACAGAAAAUAUCAAAGAUGUUAACGAGCUAUCUCAUCGAUCCACUUACAAAACAUUGUAUAUAUUAUGCUACCGCCAUUGGCAAGAAGUUUAAAUUGUACAUUCUGCUGAAAGAUAAGAACAUGAGCAUAUCCUUCCUCCACUAACUUCCACCUUAAUUUCAUUUCAGAGAAGUUGAUCUCUUUUUUUAACUAAGAAAACAUUUUUAAGACUGGACAUUCUCAUGUAUCUUUACUGUUGUCCUACACAUUUAGCAAGUUUCUGGUCAAUGUACAGAGUCAGAAAGUAUAACGGAGCAGGAUGAUUGAAAGAGAAAAUCAAGAGAAGGAAGAAAUUUUGUAGAAAAAGAAUGAAGCUGUAUUGCUUUUCACUUUCCAUUGAAUAUCUAUACAGUAAAGAAUCUUUAAUCCAAGAGGUAAACUAUAAAAUGAGGGAAAUUUAGAUAAGGGAAAACAUACAGAAGAAAGGGCUUUUCUUACAACAUUAAGUUGUAAGGUUUUGCAUACUAGUAAUUCAUUUUCCUUUCUUCUUGUAUAGACCUAAAAAUCCGAGCUGCAGAUUCAGAUGCUGACUUUGGGUUAUGGGGCACAACCUUGAUGACUUGAAUUUGCUGCUCCGUGUCGUUAUCUUGAACUGGUUGAUCUGAACCUUUUGCAGUUGGUGUGACAGGAAAAAGAGAAAGUGCACCUUUUUGCACCCUCUCAGGAGGACUACUUGCAGUACUUCCUUGCAUGUCACUCCCUCUAUCCGCCUGAAUGAUUCGAUCACAAUCUGACAUGGCCGCGCUCUUCAGGCAUGAUAUGUUGCAUGAUUUUUGAUGAGGCCUAACUAAGUUGACAUCAUGCAUAAAUUGACUAUUCUCCUUCUCACUUGACCUGAUUCUGGAAAUUGGAUUCAUUUGCUCGAUAGCUGAACUUGAAGCAGAUGGCUUUAUCACAGGCAUGGAAUACGGUUGAAUGCAGGAUGGAUCAAAGAGUGCAGGACCAGGAAAAAUCCCAGCACCUUGCUUGUGGGAAGUCGGUACACUAUAAGGCACAUUCGCGAAGUCUCCACCUAUAUGUGGAGAUAGGGUCACAGGCCUGACACUACCAUAAGCUGGCGCUAUGAUCCCUCCAGGCGGUGGACAAGGUCCUGUGUAAGGUUUAUAAACAAGUCCUUCAGAAGGUGACCUUAUUGGAACUAACCACUGAUAUCCAGGAGGUGGUUGGAAGGAUCGAGGUGCUAAUUUUGGAUCGGAUACAAAAGAUCUCGAUGUUGGUGUCCCUACAUUUAGUUUUUGAGAUGACUGCUGUGGUAUAUUCUUCUUAUCAUUAUCUUUGCGGAGAGGAAGAUAAACAUUAUCUGCCGUAAGUUCAAAAUUGUUUGGUUUUGUAGAAUUUUUCUGUUCCACCACAGGAGGUUCAAGAACAUCAUCACAUGGCAAAUUCUUCAAGGAAGAAAAUUUGAUAGAAGGUUGGUGGAGAUAGAAGUUGUCUUUGAAAAAUAUAUCUGGUGAUCUGGCCAUCAUUUUCUGAACCUGCAAAGAUGCUAAAAUAAGUAAGUUCUUCCAAAAUUUAAGCAAAACACUAAAAAACCUCCUUUACCCCCUUCUUCUUAUUGAUUUUUUGCACUUGCACUUUGCCUCUUCAAGACAACAAAAGAAAAAAGGCAAAUCUAACUAAUAGAAGUCUUUAAAGUACCUUUGUUAGUCUGUGUAGCUCAAAUAGUUGUACUGCAAAGACCCGCUGCUGGCUGAAAAAUAGUGAAACAGAAGUAAAAUGGUAGAUUUCAGAAAAAAUAUUGGAAGAGGAAACAGAAUAAGAUCAGCCUAACAUUAUUAUUUCUCAGAAAUUUGUUGAAGAAUAUGAUUUUAAGGUUUAUGCAAGUGAAGCAGUGAUGACAACAAACAUAGACCUAGAGGCUAGACUAACAUGAAACUUCAUAUCGAUAAUUACAACUUUGAGGUUCUUGUAUAAGUAUGAAUAUGGUGUUUAUGCCAAUUUGAGUACUUUAGUUUUCAUCUACUUUUAUAGGUCAUAGUUCCCGAAGAUAACACCUUUAUGAAGAUGAAACAGAUGUAAUGGAGCGAAAAGAAAAAUAUAUGAUAUGAACAUGCAUGAUAUAGGUUGAAAGUAGACAAAUUGUGAUCGGCAGAUAUCUUCGACUAACUCCUAGAUCAAGCCACACAUUUUCAUUUCUACUGCCAUGAUAAGUUGGAUAUACAUACAUAAAAGAUGACCAGUUAAAGAAACUUACUGUGCAAUGGUUCUUCUUGUUUUCCAGAAUAAUUCUUGACCUAUCAAUGCUAUGACAUUAUUUGAAGACAUUUUUUCUACUAAUCUAGAGUUCAAGGAGGAAGCUUCUGAGAUCCCUUCACUUCUGUCUUCACCUGCUACACCUGGAGCACCACUAAUCUGGUCUUCAGGACAGUCAGAAGAGGAUUUAACUCUCUUAGGACUCUGAUGGCUGUCUCCGUGAGGCAGAAAGGAACACGACGGACCUUCCAUUAUGGAAGCACAUCUCUUAAUCGUGGCAUCAUCAUGCUUCACAUCAGUAACAUCUUCUGCAGCCUUCCUUUUGUGUAAAAUCCAAGAGUCUUCAUCAGAUUCAGAAUUAGAAUCACUACAUCUAUUCAAGUCACCUACUAGACCACAUCUAUUUUCCGGAGCACUUGAUACAACUGAUUUACUAAUAUUUAGCUUGCCAUGUCCUGGACCUGGAGCUUCAUGCACCAUUGUCGUCUCUAUAGUUGACAGAUGAGGAGCAGGUAGUUUAACACAAUGUUCUCUCUUUUGGUACUUUGCUAGAUCUCCAGCUUGACUUAUACUAUGCUCCCUGCAAUUUAGUUGCAUCCUGUCUGUAUCCUUAUAUUGCUUUUCGAAAACGCUUUGAAAUUUCAAAGAAGGUUUAACCAUUUUUUCCUUGUCUGCACUUUUAUGUAUGUUACCAUGAUAUAGAGGUUUCCCUGAUGUGACGAAAUUCGGACCACAAAAAUCAUUUUCCCUUCCUAACUUAUUGGCAGAAGGUUUACUAUUAUAGUAUGGUAAACUGUGUGGAUGAAUAGGAUUAAGCUGAGAUGUAGCACGCAAAUUCCCUUUAAGACAUAAAACUUGAGGAUUUAGCGACUUGACUGGUGGAACAUCAGGAUGUCUCAUAGUAAAGUUCAUCCCUCCAGAAGAAAACGGAGGUAUCGCAACCAAAUGACAAGACUCAGAUGAAUUUUGGAGAAAAUAAUUCCUUUUGUUGCAACCAACCUACAGGGUGUUCAAGAGCUCGUGUGAGGAGAUCGAAUGGGACAGCAUAAUGAACCUUCUUCUUGGUGAUAGCAGUCAUAAUUGGUCUUAAGUAUUCAAGAAAUUCUCAUCUAAGGAAACACACUGCAUAAUCUAUGAAGCAAACGUACAAUUUUCUAAUACCUUGAGUUGGCAAUGAAUGAAGAGGAUAAACAGAUUCACUCAAUCUGAAACAUCACAAGCAUAAUAAGUAAACAAAAGGAAUGGAAGUAGAUUGAAAAUCCAAAGGUUUGGGAUGAUGAAAACAGGAAAUAUUUCUCUAAUAUAGUUUACCUCCUAUUUCUAAGACCAUACGAAUUGCAUAGAUUAUUUGUGUUCCUCAUACAAAACUCAAAAAGACAAGUUAUCAUAAUUCUAUCAAACAACAUACUACCAAUACUUGGAAGUCGGUCGGAAGAACACACUAAAUUAAGUACUUACAAGACUAGAAGAUGCUGCAGGAAUAGAGUUUCCACUAUUAGGCGGGAGAGGCAGUAUUGUCAUGGUUGCAGGAGUAGAACUAGAGGUGAAACUUUGAGGCGAUGACUGUUCACAAAGAGCCAUUUUGUUUCUGGGAGGUGCUCUUGGACCUCCUUUAUCUGCAUCAUUUAUAUGUAAUCUAGGAAACAAAGGAUCCAUAUGCCUCUCUUCCUCUUUUUCUGUCUUCAUCUUUUCCUUCUGCCUCACGUGUUAAUUAAGAUUAAGAUGAAGCCUACUCUCUGUAUGCUAAGACAAAAUUUCACUACUUUUCUCGUAAACGAACCAUAUCAUAGCUCACCACUUACAAUCCAAAUUCUAGCUGUUCCACCAAAGCUAUAAGUCAUCCCACCUCAAAAGAUCGAUUCUUUUGACUGUAAAUCAGUAGCAAUAAGCAAAACCACAUGGAAUUACAAUUCAAUCUUGAUGCAAGAGAAAGAAAAAAACAUAUCUGUCUGUGAUACAAAUUAAAAGAGCAAAUUCUUCGACUUCCUCAAAUAGAGGAUCCCAAUCUAAACAUAAAACAAUGUGGAAAAUGAAGAUAGCAAAUAUAAAGAGAGGAAAUCUUAGAAGAAGAUCAGAUCAACAAAUAGAUGAGAAGGAGAAUAAAAUGAGGGGAAUGUGGGGUGGCUAGAGAAUUAGUGGAACUUCCAUGAGUUAGAAGGCAGAGAAUUAGCAGUACGUAAAUAUAAAAAUUAAAAACAACAUGUAAAUAGUGACUGAGUCGCUCUCCUUUUCUUUCUCUCUAAGGCAAAUGCCGAAACAAGUGUGUACGCGUUAUCGAACCACAUGUAAGAAAUUGUCCAAUCUUUUUACGAAAUAUCUGCCAAAUCUCACCAUACGCUUUUUCCUCAAAGGACUAAAAACUUACCCGAACCCGCCGCUUAUUAUAUCGCAUAAACUAUUUUCUACAUUAAUAUAUAACGCGUUUUCUAAUAAAUGUAUCACGUGUAUUUUUUUAAUUCUACAAAAUGGAGUUUAAAAAGGCUAUUUUGCAACUUUUCACAUGUUAAUUAAUUUGUUUUGUAUUGGUCCGAAAUCCAAAAUAUAAAAUCAAAUGUGUAAGUGAAGGAAUUAAAGUUUAAACAAGUGCAUCUCCAAUUCAAACUUCAAAUAUUUGAAUUCUCCUUUUGUAUUUUAUGUUCCACAAAUUUUAUUCUUUCGCUAUUUAAGCUUCAAUUUGUAUAUAUGUAUUAAUGUUUGGAUUAGCUCUCUCUAGUUUGAGUUGAAAAGGCAAAAGAAGAGAACCUUCUUUGUUUCUCUUGUGUCAUAUUUAAGGUGCAUGUGGAAACUAAUUCAAAAUAAGCUAAUGAAAAUAUGACUCGUUGAAGCUUAACUCGUUAAUUUUACCGUCUAAUAGUUAAGUUGAUUCGUGCAGCCCAAAUACAAGUGUCAAUGAAUAUAAGGUUGAAUGUGGAAAACAACAAAAUAAACUCAUCAAAAUAUGACCCGUUCAAGUCAUCCAUGUUAACUCGAUAAUUUGCCGUCUAAUAGUUGAGUUGAUUUGGGCUAAAUAUGUAGCUGAAAUACGAGUGUCAAUGAAGAUAAGGUUACGUUGAAUGCAAAAGCCAAUAAAAUAAGCUUAUCAAAAUAUAACUCGUUCAAGUCAUUCAUGUUAACUUGAUAAUUUUAUCGUCUAGUAGUUGAGUUGAUUCGAGGUAAAUAUGUAUCCCAAAUAUGAGUGUUCAUAGACGUGCAUGAACUCAACGUAAUCUUAUCGAAAUUAUGUAUCUUUUAUGAAACUCGAAAGAAAACCUGUUUGGACGCUCUAAUCUAAGUUGUACCCAUGACAGACCUCCUCCACCACCAAAUUUUAUAUGUAUAUAUUUUAACUUCAAAAUUUUGACGAUACCACUUUGCACUACUUGUCGUCUCCAUUAUUUCAUCACCAUGAAAGAGCCAUAAUCACCAAAUGACAUACAUAACCUUCACCUUAACAAAUAAAUCAUUGCAUUUAUAAUCAUGGGCCAAUUGACAAUGGAAACAGUCGAUGUAGUAGUUAUAAUUCAAAAGAGAGCUGCAAGUUGAAAGUUUGUACAUUCCUUGCAAAUGAUACGAUUGUAACAGACAUUAAUCUUUUUAACUUCUUAACUUCUUGCAAAUGGUACGAUUGUAUCAAACAUUAAUCAUUUAAACUUCUUAACUUCGGUAAAAAAAUGUCUUAGGGUGGCUUGGGAGUCCUUGUAUAUCUAAAGCUGUGUAGGCCAUAACUUCAGUAUAAAAAAUAUCUAAUUUAGAGAAAAAUUAUUGAGAUAAUGGAAAAGAAGAAGGAUAUAUAGUAAAAUAAAAGAAGUGUGAAGUCAUUUCAAGAAGUUAGUUAUGGGUCAUUGUCAAGAAGUUAGUUAGGUAGUUAGGAAUUUGGAAGUUGAUGUAUAAAUACAUAGCUUAGGUCAUUAUAAUGUAAUCUAAGAAUUCUAUUCAAAACUUCAUCUUCUUCAAUUCUUAUUUUUCUUCUCGUUUCAUCAAAAUCUUCAUGGUAUCAAAGCAGGUGACAGAAUAUGAAGAAUUGUUCAUCUGAGUGUUCCUGUGUGUAUUACCUUUGAAGAUCUGGAAAAUAGAAUCUGAGAAGUUAGUUUUUUUUUGUGUGUUAAAUUUCCGCUGUGCAAUUGAAGAAGAAGAGAGAUAGUUAACAUGAGCAAAGAGUAACUGGUGAUCAAGCCACGACUGGAAACAUCAGUGUGGAUGGAAAUUCUGGAAAUCCAAGUUCCAUUCUAGUUACGUCAAUGAGUCAAGGGGUUGGUUAUAGUUAUCCUCUGUUCUUGAGUCCCACUGAUAUCAGUGGUGUAAAUUUGAUUUCGUUUCAACUUACUGGAAUAGAAAAUUAUGCAUUGUGGAGUAGGUCAAUCAAAUUGGCCUUACUAGGCAGAAACAAGAUUGGUUUGGUAGGUGGAUCAUGCAAGAAGGAGGAUGUAAGGACUGAAUUACAAGGUUAAUGGGAAAGAGUUAAUGCCAUUGCGUUAUCAUGGCUUCUGAAUUCAGUUUCAAAGAGUUUAUUAGGAGGAGUGGCAUUUGCUUUAUCAACUAAAAAUGUAUGGAAUGAUCUGAAGGAGAGGUUUGAUCAGUUAGAUGGAUCAGGAACCUUCAGCAUGCACAAAGAGAUAGCAACAUUACAACAAGGUACAAAAUCUGUAUAAGUGUAUUUUACCAAACUCAAAGCCUUGUGGGAUGAAUUUGAGGCGUUAGUGCCACCUCCUGGUUGUGAUUGUGAGAAGGCAAGAGGUCUUGUUGAUCAUGUGAAUCGACAAAAGUUAUAUCAAUUCUUGAUGGGAUUGAAUGAAUCUUUUGAACAAGCAAGAAGCCAGAUCUUGUUGAUGAGUCCAAUUCCUGCAAUGAAUCAAGCUUAUGCUAUGAUUGUUAAUGAUGAGUGUCAAAAAGUGACUUUAAGUAGGUUAGUUAUGGGGUUAAGUUCUAUAAGUAGUACUGGAAUGGAGGCUCUAGGAAUGUAUUCAAGAACUGGAGGAACCUCUGCUACACAAAGCUACAACAAAUUCAAGAAGAAUUUUGUAGUUGUGUGUGAAUUCUGCAGAUGCAAGGGGCACACCAAAGAUCAGUGUUAUAAACUGAUUGGAUACCCUUCAGAUUUCAAGUCCAAGAGGAAAUUGAAUGCUGGAACAGGAAAUGGAGCACACAUGGUUGGUAAUAAUGAUAAUAAUGCAAGAAAAGAUGGCUAUGAAGGUAUGUCUGGGGGUCCUUCUGAAAGAGUUAGCUACCUAACGCACUUCGUUUCACCUCAUUCGGAGUUCGGACGAAGAAGUUAUGCCCAUUUUCGUAAAAUCUGUCCGGCAGGAAAGGCAAUUUCCAGUGAGCGUUUUUACUGUUCACCCGCCUCAUUUUUUUUUUCUAAGUGUUGGACCAUUUUUCCAAAGGGCAUAUGUUAUUUCCUAUAUACCAUUAGUUCAAUUCCCAUCUCUAAAACAUUUCCCAAAACACCUCUCCCAUACUUAGACACAUUUUCUCUCAAGUUCUCUCAAGAACCCUAAUCCAAAACCUUCCUCAAGAUUGAAGAGACUCUUGCUCCAAGUUCCAAGCUUCCAUUGAAGACACUCUCAAGACCUUCAUAAAAACUCAAGGUAUGUGGUGUUGAACUCAUGGGUCCUUCCACCCAUAGUGCCUAGACUCUAUUCUACUCACUAAUUCAUGGUUUAAGUUAAGAUUCAUAAAUUAGUCUUGUUCUUUGUAAUAAUUUCCUGCACAUUGAAUUUUAAACAUGAAAAGUGAUUGUUUUGAGCAUGUUGUGACCCUAGAACUUGAACCUAAAUUUGGAAUGGAUGUGGAGAUUUUCAUGUGGUAUUGUGGGUGUUAAAAAGGUGUUGUUGUAGGUUGUUCACUGGUUUGGCUGCAUAAUUACUACCCUAUUUUCCAUGCUCUUUGAUUCCAUUACAUGCCUUCAAGGUGUUUGACAAAAUGUCCAACUAUGGAGAAUUGAUGAAUCGAUGCUUUAAAGCUUGAGUUAUGAGAUGUAUGGAAAUCCAGAGAUGUGUUGAUGACAAACUAAGCUUGUGUAUAUGUUCAUUCCAUACGUGAGAUUGCAUUAGAGCCUAAUGGGAAUUUUCUAUAUAAAGUGUUGCAUGACCAUGCCCGGUCCGGGGGAAAAGAACCGGACAACCAUGUGAGAGGUUUAUAUCUCACCACCUAGGAUGCUUGGGGUGUGACCAACAUCAACCAUGUGAGAGGUUUAUAUCUCACCACCUAGGAUGCUUGGGGUGUGACCAACAUCAACCAUGUGAGAGGUUUAUAUCUCACCACCUAGGAUGCUUGGGGUGUGACCAACAUCAACCAUGUGAGAGGUUUAUAUCUCACCACCUAGGAUGCUUGGGGUGUGACCAACAUCAACCAUGUGAGAGGUUUAUAUCUCACCACCUAGGAUGCUUGGGGUGUGACCAACAUCAACCAUGUGAGAGGUUUAUAUCUCACCACCUAGGAUGCUUGGGGUGUGACCAACAUCAACCAUGUGAGAGGUUUAUAUCUCACCACCUAGGAUGCUUGGGGUGUGACCAACAUCAACCAUGUGAGAGGUUUAUAUCUCACCACCUAGGAUGCUUGGGGUGUGACCAACAUCAACCAUGUGAGAGGUUUAUAUCUCACCACCUAGGAUGCUUGGGGUGUGACCAACAUCAACCAUGUGAGAGGUUUAUAUCUCACCACCUAGGAUGCUUGGGGUGUGACCAACAUCAACCAUGUGAGAGGUUUAUAUCUCACCACCUAGGAUGCUUGGGGUGUGACCAACAUCAACCAUGUGAGAGGUUUAUAUCUCACCACCUAGGAUGCUUGGGGUGUGACCAACAUCAACCAUGUGAGAGGUUUAUAUCUCACCACCUAGGAUGCUUGGGGUGUGACCAACAUCAACCAUGUGAGAGGUUUAUAUCUCACCACCUAGGAUGCUUGGGGUGUGACCAACAUCAACCAUGUGAGGGGUUUAUACCUUGCCACCAGGGUGUCCGGGUGUGAACGGCAUCCCCCAUCCUAAGUUGGGGUUAUAGAUUGGUUGGAUCAUGCAUACACAUAUGAUAUCUACUAUUAGUAUAGAGUUACUUAAACAUGUUUUGACUUCACUUUGAUCAUGCAUCCUCAUAUUGUUAUUCAUAAUGCCUAUGAAACUAUUUCUUGUAUUUCGAUUGUGUCCUUGUUUAUUGUUGUGUUGCACCCCGCAUACUUAGUACAUUCCAAGUACUAACGCAUAUGUCACCAUGUAGGGACCGGAGCUACUCUUGAUCCUUCUCUCCAUUCACGUGGCUAGUACGACGCUUAUCCGAGUUUGUUGGUGAGUCCUCAAUGAUUCGAGGGCUAUGUUAUGUUUCCUACUCCUAUGUUUUGAGACUUUAGCUUGCAAUUGUAUUUUGACUAUGAGGGGAGCCGGUAGAAUGUCAUGGCCCCACCCCAUCUAUGUAUGUAGAGGUGUGCGUUGGACAAGUAUUUUGUAAAUGAGCUUGACUCUUGUUCUAUGAUGUCAUUUUGAAAUGGUUUGCCCUUAGUCCCUAUUUCCCGAUAAUUAAUGUUGAAUGUACUUCCGCGACCGAUGAAGUGUGAUGACAAGUUUGAGAGGCUUGUUUGGGGUUUCUUCGGGUUCCUCAUUCACCAUGUCACGUCUAGGCCCUAGGCUUGGGUCGUGACACCUUCUUUCAGUUAUGGGAGUAACACUAAUGUGGCUAUAAAAGGUCACACUGGGGAUGUAGAUGAGUGUUCGACUCAGUUGCAAGGAUGCAAUUUCACUAGAGAUCAAUACAACCAAAUUCUUUAGAUGCUCAAGCAGAACCAAGGAUGUGGUCAUAAAACUGAAGAUGCAGGCCAAACACAUGAAGCACAGGCUAAUACUGCAGGUAACGCCUUGUUAGUUUCUGAAAAUAAUGAAGUUUGGAUUAUAGAUACAUGUGCAUCCAAUCAUAUGGUGUCAAAAGUUGGUAUGCUCAAUAAAGAAUCUGUAGUCAAGGUGAAAGAUCCCAAGCCUGUGUACUUACCUACUGGUGAAGUGUCAUAUGUGUCUUAUACAGGAAUAUGUCAUAUAUCUCCAAGAAGUGUAAUUACAGAUGUGUUUCACAUACCAGAGUUUAAGUAUAAUUUACUGUCAGUAAGCAGGGUGACUAAGGAGUUAAACUGCUCAGUUACUUUCUUCCCUCAUUUUUGUGUGUUUCAGGAUCUUUACACUGACAGGGUGAGGGAAGUUGGUAGAGAGGAUGAUGGUCUGUACUUGUUGUUAAAGAACUUGACACAAGAUCAAUUAAAACAUCAGUCAUGUGUUGUGCCUGAAAAGAAGCUAGAGAUACAACAAUUGUCCGAGAAACAAAUGGAUAUGUGGCACAAGAGACUAGGACAUGGAUCCUCUCAUAUGCUGAGUAAAGUUUUUCUUGUUAAUUCAGAAGUAGUAAAUAAAGUGUUAAACAAAUGUACUGUGUGUCCUUGUGCAAAACAGACCAUAAAUGUGUUUCCAGUUAGCAGUAUUAAAAGUAGUCAAGUGUUUGAUUUGAUUCAUUUAGAUGUAUGGGGUCCAUACAAGCAAACAACUUUUGAUGGUAACAUAUAUUUUCUAACAGUGAUUGAUGAUUUCUCAAUGAUGACUUGGUUAUUUCUUUUGAAAAACAAAUCAGAUGUGUGUACUGCUUUAGCUCAUUUUCUGUAAUUUGUAAAGACACAGUUUGACAAAACAGUAAGGAAGGUAAGGUCUGAUAAUGGGACUGAAUUCAUAAAUUCUGUGUGUGAUACUCUACUUAAGGAAAUGAGUAUAAUACAUUAGAGGUCAUGUCCUUACACCCCACAACAGAAUGAAGUAGCUGAAAGGAAACAUAGACACCUCUUAGAAGUAACUAGAGCAUUAAGGUUUCAAGGUCAAAUUCUUCUAAGGUAUUGGGGUCAAUGUGUGCUUACAACUGCUUAUUUGAUUAAUAGAAUGCCUAGUAGGGUUCUAGGGAGUAAGGCUCCAUAUGAAAAAAUAUAUGGUGAAAAGCCUUUGUUAUCUCAUCCAAGAGUGUUAGGGUGUUUAUGUUAUGCUAAAGUUCUCACUGAGAGUGAUAAACUAGCAUCAAGAUCUAAGGCUGCUGUCCAUAUGGGGUAUUCAGAAACUCAAAAGGUUUAUAUUCUGUUAGAUUUGACAACCAAUAGUUUUUUUGUGAGUAGAGAUGUGAUGUUCAGGGAGUCGGUGUUUCCAUUCAUGACCUUCUCAUCUAAUAAGGAGGAAGGUCCAUUUGUUAAUAGCAUGGGUGAUGACAUGCUGAAUAUAGAUUGGGAGUCAGAGUGUGACAAAGUGGUGAACAAAGAAAAUAGUCAUCAUGAGUGUGUACAGGAUACAUGUUGUGAUAAAAAGACUGAUAACACUGAACAAGAUAGAGUACAAUGAGGAGUACAAUGUCAAGAUACAAAAGAUCAUGAGUUUUUGACAGGUGAUACUCAGUCUGUGGGAACUAGAAGGUCUACAAGAGGAGUUCAUCCACCAGUGUGGAUGAAAGACUUUGUGUCUCUUAAUAUGGGUAGAUAGGUACAACAUCCUAUAGAUAAGUGUGUAGCAUACAAGCAUUUGUCUAAACCAUAUCAAGAGUUUGUUGCUACAACUGCUGCUCUAACUGAACCUGCUACUUUUGUUGAGGCAAGUAAAGAACCAAGGUGGAUUGAAGCAAUGAAAGCUGAAGUACAAGCCUUGCAAGAUAACAACACUUGGAAACUAGUUGAGUUACCUAAAGGAAAGUAUGCUAUUGGAUGCAGAUGAAUUUAUAAGAUUAAGUACAAAUCUAAUUGAGAAGUAGAAAGGUUCAAGGCAAGAUUAGUGGCCAAAGGGUAUAGUCAAAAUGAGGGUAUAAAUUAUAAGGAAACUUUUUCUAUUGUGGUAAAAAUGGUCACAGUAAGAACCAUACUAGUCUUAGCUGUAUCUAAAGGGUGGCAUAUCCAUCAAAUGGAUGUGUAUAAUGCGUUUUUGAAUGAUGACUUAGAGGAUGAAAUCUAUAUGAUUGUACCUCAGGGUUUUUCCAGUCAGGGGGAGAAUAAGAAUGAAGUGUGCAGACUGGAAAAGUCAUUGUAUGGGCUUAAACAAGCACUAAGACAAUAGAAUCACAAGUUUGCAGAGGUUCUUCAGAAGAAGCUGGGGUUCAAUCAAAGUUAAUAUGAUCAUUCUCUAUUCACAAGAAGAACAUCUGAAGAGACUACAAUCAUUCUGGUAUAUGUUAAUGAUAUUUUGGUGACAGAAAGUAGUUUAAAGCUAGCGGAUGAGACAAAAAGAGGCUUACAACAAAGUUUUAAAAUGAAUAAUCUAGGAAAGUUGAAAUACUUUCUUGGAAUAGAGUUUGUAAGAUCACACAGUGGAGUUGUUAUGCAUAAAAUGAAAUAUGGACUUCAACUCAUUUCUGAAGUUGGAUUGUCAGGAGCAAAGCUUGGGAGGCAUCUACCUUAUCCUGAUCAUAAGGAGAGGUUCACUAUGAUGGGGGUACUUUUUUUUCCCUUAAGGAAAAAAUGAAAUGCAUAAAGGACCAUCCUUUUGUUGCGGCAUGCUCCUCAGAUUUACGAAUUCGCAGGGGGUCUCAGGCCCUACUGGAACACCUAUGGAUGUAAAUGUAAAGUUGACAUUUAGACAGUAUGAUGAUCAAACAAGUAAGAAUCAAGAUGAGUCUUUAACAGAUCAAGCUUCUUAUGAGAAGCUGAUUGGGAAACUGUUAUAUUUAAACAUGACUAGGCCUAACAUUUCCUAUAAUGUGCAAACCUUGAGUCAGUUUCUACAUCAACCAAAAAAGUCUCAUAUGGAUGUUGCACUUAGAGUGGUAAAAUAUAUUAAGGGACAGCCAGGGCAAGGUAUAUUGUUGUCUAGUAAGUGUGGAACUGAAAUUAUAGCCUACUGUGAUGCUGAUUGGGCAGCAUGUCCUCUUACAAGAAAAUCUGUGACUGGGUAUGUAAUUAAGCUUGGAGAGUCGGUGGUCUCUUGGAAGGCUAAGAAGCAAACCAUUGUGUCAAGAAGUUCAGAUGAAGCUGAGUAUAGAAGCUUAGCUUCUACUGUAGUAGAGUUAGUUUUGGUUAGUAGGGAUGUUGAAAGACUUAAAAGCUGAAAUUCAGUUGCCUGUUCAAGUCUAUAGUGACAACAAGUCUACUAUUCAAUUAGCUUCUAAUCCAGUGUAUCAUGAACGUACUAAACACAUCGAAAUCAAUUGCCAUUUUAUCAGGGAGAAACUUCAACAAGAACUAAUCAAGAUAAUGUAUAUUUCAACACAAAAUUAGCCUGCUGAUCUUUUGACAAAAGGUCUCAACAAGCCUCAACAUGAUUAUCUAUUGUCCAAGCUAAUCAUAUUUGCACCUCCUAGCUUGAGGGGGAGUAUUGAGAUAAUGAAAAAGAAGAAGGAUAGUAAAAUAAAAGAAGUGUGAAGUCAUUUCAAGAAGUUAGUUAUGUGUCAUUGUCAAGAAGUUAGUUAGGUAGUUAGGAAUUUGGAAGUUGAUAUAUAAAUACAUAGCUUAGGUCAUUAUAAUGUAAUCCAAGAAUUCUAUUCAAAACUUCUUCAAUUCUUAUUUUUCUUCUCAUUUCAUCAAAAUCUUCAAAAAUGUUAAAGUUUUUAUCUUCAUAAGGUCAAACUUCAAACAAAAAUUCCCAAAGUAAUAUAAUAUUUUGAUUGGAAUCGUGUACCUCUGAAGUUAUGAUAGAAGCGGGUAUUUGUAAAUUUUUUUUAGCAAUGGGUAUAAACUAAAUAGAGACUCAAAAAAAGUAUUUGGAAAUUUUUGUCACGUUAUUAGUCUUCUACUAAAUACAAGUGCGACACUUAACAACUUGCUCAUGAAUCGCUAAGAGAAUGGUACAAAGAAACUUGCUCACGAAUCACUAAAAGAAUGGUAGAAAGAACAUAAGAGGAUUGAUAGGAAUAAUUGAGUUGUAGAGCAUUUUCAUUCAUUUUCGCCGGAUGAUUUUACAAAUGAAUGUCCAUCUAUUUAUGUUACCUAUGUAGGAGCUAAAGUGUAAUAAUAAUUUCUACAUAAGUCCCUACAUAAAUAUAUUUAGGUUCUUCUCUAAAACUCUCCACAUGCCUAGAAUAUUCUAGAGACCUUCUAUCGUAAGUGUGGAGGGUCUCAAGGAAAUGGAAUGGUAGAUCUGAAAUUGGAAACCCUAGACUAUAGUCUAUAAUGUGACAGGGAGGCCUUGUCUGAAGGGGGCUUCUUUCCAUUUUUGCUCUUAAUUUUAUCUGUAUUUGAUUGAUUUGGGUAAUAGGCCCAAAUGAGUUUGUAUUUAUCUUUCCCAAUUAAUAAAAGCCCCCCAUGAUUCAACUAAAAAAAAUAAACAAAAAUUCUAGAGACAUUCUAUGCGAAUCUAUAAUCUUUCAUGAAAAAUCUUCAUAUUUAUUUAGAAUCAUCGACAAAAAUUAGUUUUUAUCCUACGUAAGCCCUCCACAUGGGUAAUUUUGUGUCAUAUGGCACUUAUGUGUGAAAGAUGAACGAACUAAUCAAGCGAAUUGAAUGAGGUCAUUUGCACUUCCGUCCCUAUUUUAUGCUGGUCUUUAAUUUUUGUCAUUCUUGACAAAUAACUGUCACACCCCUUUUCAGCACGGCGGAAAGGUUUUUCCAAUUAAAGUGACGUUAGUGAUUAGGGAUUUUUUUUUCUUCAGAGUCGCCACUUGGAAUUGAGUUUUGGUGUUCCAAGUCACCUUUCUUUUUUUAUCCCUAAUCAAAAGGAAAUGACUCUUUAUUUUGGUCUACGAAUUAGAAAUUCGGGUAAGGAAUUUUGUUGACCGAGGGGAAGGUAUUAGGCAUCUCUCGAGUCCCGUGGUUCUAGCACGGUCACUUUUAUUGACUUAUACUUGACUUAAAUUAUUUUUGGAUAUAUUAUUACCGGCCAUGAUUUGUUCGCAUUUAUAUUUUUUGUUGAACUUUUAUUUUGUCUCAAUCUAGAUGCGUAGCUGCAUUCUUGGUCUUGACAUUUAGAGACAUAAUUGUCUUUCUUCGCAUCGCACCUAAUAAUUUUAUCUAUAAGUCUUAUGUUAAACUAGGGAACUUAACCGCGCUUCGCGUGAAAUAAAAAAAUUACACCGCCCAUUUGGUCAUAAGAAAUUAUAAAUUAAACUUCUUUCUGAAAUUUUUUACUUUAUUUGAAUAUUAAUUUGACCAUGAAGAUUCGAAUUGAACUUUAUUUAUAUUUUGUUUUAAGCAAAUAUAAAAAAAAAUUAUGUAUAAAAAUAGCUUUUUGACAUACCUUUGACUAUAUAUUUGUCCACCCAACUUAUUUAUAUAUUUAGUCUUUGCUACUCAAGAAAUAAUUAAAAAAAUUUCAAAAAAAAAACCCACUUCAUUAUAUCACUCAAAAAAGAAUAUAAACUAAACAAACAUUCAUCAGUUUUCUACUCAUACUGACCACUCUAAUAUUUUGGAUUCAUGAAUUGAAAAUGUUUCAUGAAAUGUUGCAUUUCAUUUGAGUGUAGGUGUAAAUAUAGCGGUGUUCAAAUUCUUUGAUUAAGUUAUGAAGUUUUUUAAAUUUUCAAAACUCAUAAUACACAAAGUAAUACUAUAACGGAAAUAAUAUGUUUAAUCUAUUUGAGAAUUUGUAGAAAAGAAAACGAAAAAAAUAUGCAUGCUUCAUUAACUUGGUAUAUAGGCUAUUAAUCCAGAUCAGUAGAGGAAUUGUAUGGCGUAUUAAUAAAAUAAAUUGAAUUGAAUUAUCAUAUUGAAAAAAAAUCAAAACAAACAUGAAAAAAAAGAGAUGCUAUAAAAAUUCAAAAGCCACUUCAUAAGACCAUUUAUUACAUUUUCUUAAACGUAAAUUUAUGCUAACAUAGUCAUUGAAUUUUAAUUAACAUUACAAGUUCAUAUGAGUUACAACCUUUUCACCUCACCCAUUUUUUCGUAUUCCUCGUAAAUUUACAUUGAACAUUCUAUUAUAAAUAUUAAGUACCAAUGUUUUUGAAUGAAUACUAAAUCAUGUUUUCAAUCUUCAAUUUUCUUAAUCACGUGUUCAAUUUA